UUUUUUUCUUCUUCUUUGUUGAGUCAUAGGAACCACCAUACUGUUAAGUGGGGUCCAAGAGAACUAGUCAGAAUGACUGAAGUGAUGCUUAACCAAAACCUAUGUCUUCGAGUGAAGACUAUGAGAGCGAAUCUUGUCCAGAGUCAGAUAAGUCAGCUUUGCUUGUAGCCCAAGUAAAGUUGUCGUGUGAGUUUGAAAUCUGACUGUUGGAACACGUGUCAGUUCCUUAGUGACUCAGGGUCAUUUCGGAAAAAUCAGGUCAGGUUGCCUACUGGCUAUAAAUAGCCCACCCCCUACAACCAUAAACGGUUGGCUGCUCAGAGUUAGUGUACGACUUUUGUCGUUUGAGAGCAACCCACCUCGAAGCCCUUGAGAGAGAAUUCCUUGCGAGGAUAAAGCCCUAACCACCCAGAGCCAAAGAGAAUUAGGCAUCACUUAAGCCUUCUUGUCUGUGUGAUCUGAAGACUUAUUACACUUGAGGACUGUGAAUCCUCCAGCCGGUUAGGCGUCGUGUUCUGAGCAUCCAAGAGACAUUAUGGAUUGCCGGUGAACGAAGUCUGUGAAGGUUUGGGAGUCUACCUUGAAGACUUACUAGAGUGAUUGGGCGAGGUCUGUGUGACCUUAGCUCAAGGGAAAUACGGUGAGGACUGGGUGUCCUGAGCUGCGUGUUCAGGACUGGGUGUCCGGGACUGUGUGUCCUCAGGUUUAAAUACCUAGCCGCCCUAACCAGACGUACAGUUGUCACAGCAACUAGAACUGGUCCAACACAUCAUUGUCUUCAACGAGUCACUGGUUUUGUCACAUCCCUAGCUUCUGGUAAUGCUCUAGGCUAGCUUCAUGUGUGCAUCAUGUUUAAAUUCUGAAACUUGAACUGAGGAAUUUUGGAAGCCUCAAAACCCUAAAUAAAAGAGGGGCAAAAACCCUAGAAAUCUCAUCCAUUGCUCCAAAAUGCUCUUCUUAAAUGUUUGAUAAUUUUUGGUAAGGGUUCUGGUCCCAACCAAAAUAUUGAACAUUUUUAAGGAAUUAUUUUUGGGACUUUGGAUUUAAUUCAUUAGCUAUUUGAAUUUGAAUUAUAUUCAUAUAAUUAGAAUAUAAUUUCAAAUACCCCUGAAAUAUUUUAUAAGCUUUUGGAAAAGUCCAUCUAGCAAUAUAAAAUAUUCAGAGGAGUUUUUGGCAUUGUUUGAAUUAUUUUAAAAUUCAAAACAGUGGCAAAAUAAAUUAAACAGAACAAAAAUAGAAAACAGUAAAUAAAAACAGAGAGAGGGAGAGAAGGCCACCUGGGCCACCUACCUGGCGCCACUUACCUGGCCCAGCUCCCCCAGCGGCCCAGCCCACCUGGCCCCCCUUCUCCUGUCUUCUUCCCGUGCCAGCGCACGAAGCAGCUCGGUGGCGAGCACCGCCGUCGCGCUUGGCCACCUCCUGCCUGGUUGCCUCCCUCCUCGAUGCGCCUGGAGACGCCACGACACCCCUGGCCUCUCUCUCACUCUCCCUGGAACCCCUCUCGCUCUCCCGCCGUCCCUAUUCCCCCUCUGCUCUCUCUCCCUCCCGCGACCGAACGGAGCCGCCGCCACCGACGAGCUCCCUCGCGGACACCGGCCACCCCACGCAAACCCGACGCGCCCAAAAGCUCCGCCACGUUGUCUUCUUCAUCUUCGAUGAGCCACGCAAGCCGGGAGGGCCCGGAACAUCGCCAUCGCCGUCGUCUUCCACCUCGGGCUCCGACCACCGCCGCCGUUGAUUCGCCGUCUCCACCGCCUCCCCGAGCACGCCGACCUUCUCUUCGAACUCACCGUGAGCCCCUGUCCAUUUCCCCUCUCUCUCCGUGCCCGUCCGCAUCCUCUAACCACCCUGGCUGUCGGAGCCGACCGUUCCUCGCCGCCGGCGAUGACGCAGACGGUGCUAGAGCCACCGUAGCUAACUUCCGAGCACGGCAACGUGCUCAGCACCCUUCCAGGAGCCGAGCGCGCCCACCCGUGCGACCUGCCGUGCCCCCUAGCGCCAACCCCGACCUCGCCGAGCUCCGGCCGCCGCCAAACACGUCGCCGGCGCCUUUUCCGGCGACCCCGAACCCAACUACCUGCACCACUCGCCGCGGCCCACUCCCAGCUAUCCAUAGAGCCCAACGGCGCCCCGAACGGUGCCCUGUACGUAAAACCCGCACCUGCACCGCCGCGUUUAGCCUCGCCGGCGGCUAAACACCGGCGAGUUGACCCCGCCGACCAGGGAGUUUGACCCUGGGUCACUGACGUGUGGGCCUCUGGCCACUAACUAAAUUAGGAUUAACACUAAUCGGAUUAGUUAAACUAAUUACCCCCUACUGACACUGACAUGUGGACCCUAGUGCCCUAAUCUUUAAUUAAACUAAACUAAACCCCCCUGUUUAACCCGUGGCACUGACGUGUGGACCCCACACGUCAGGUUUGACCUGGACCGCCCUGUUGACCUGAUGACGUCAGGGUGAGGUCAUGCUGACGCCAUAUUCCUUUUCUGGAAUUUAAUUUAUUUUAUAAUAUUCAAGAAAUUCCAGAAAAUGCCUAAAACUUCAAUAAAUCAUAGAAAAUUAACCGUAACUCCAAAUUAAAUAAAUUAUAUAUGAAAAAUUAUCAGAAAAAUUCAAGGAAUCCAUCUGUACCAUUUUCAUGCAUGUUAGAACAACUUAUAGCUGCUGUUUAGCACAAAUCAUAUAAAGGGCAUUUAUUUAAUCACAUAUGGAGUUUGAAUUUGAAUUUUAUAUUCAAACCAACUUCAUUUAAUCUGUUGCUAGUUGCAUUAGCUCAAAACACAUUCAUAUUGCCAUGUCAUGAGCAUGCAUCAUAUUGUGCAUUGCAUUGAUUGUGUUCCCUUCUGUGUUGCCGGUAUUUGUCCCCUCUCGAUAGACGCGAUACCGAUGAUGUGAUCGUUGACACUGAUGAAGACUCAAUGCUAUCUUCAGAAGUGCCAGGCAAGCAAAACCCCCUUGUUCAUUCCGAUACAAUCCCACUCUCUCGCUCCUGCUCUCUUUUACUGCAUUAGGACAACACCGAUUCAACUGUUACAUGCUGCGGUAGUUGAACCCCUUUAUCCUCUGCAUGACCUGUCAUUGCCACAGUAAAUAGAUGAAACCCACUAGCAUGAGUAGGAGUUGUUUGAGCCCUGUUGUGCCUACUCAUUCAUGUUUGUUUGUCAUGCCUGCUACUGCUUAGAGUUGAGUCAGGUCUGAUUCAUCGGGGAUGAAUCAGAGGUGUGUGAACAUGUCCUACUGUGUGUGAGCUAAGUGUGUGAACACGAUUUGGUAAAGGUAGCGGUGAGAGGCCAUGUAGGAGUACAUGGUGGGUUGUCUCAUUGCAGCCAUCCUCAGGAACUGAGUUCUGUGUUUGUGAUCCAUGAUUCAGUUACUAUCAUACAUUGGGCCCUGAAAUAUGACCCCGCUCGACUUCUUAUUCACCCUUGUCCUCUGUCCAGGAGUUGCAAGUAGUUUCUGGUGUUUGUAGCUUACUGGAGGCCGUGGACAGCGCUGACCGUAGGGGUGGGCUGUGAUGCGGUAGGUACGUGGCACCGUGUACCGGAUGCCCGUUUGGUAUCUCGGGAACCCUGUUCACAUCGUUUGGGGCUGUGAGCGAAACUCCGGCCGGAUCUCCUCAUGGAUGGAACCCGAAUAGGCGAUAAACCUGGACUAGAGACUUGAGUGUUUAGGUAGGUCGUGGUCUACACCCACGUUGGCUUUCGCUUGAAGUCUGCCGAGCACAUGUCGUGUGCAGACGCUAAGUGGUGGAAACAUGUAUGAAGAAGUACACCCCUGUAGGGUUAUCAUCAUCUAUUCGAAUAGCCGUGUCCACGGAAAAGGACUUCUGGGUUGCUUAUAUCAGUUCAUAGACAAGUGAAAGUGGAUACUCUAAAAUACGCAAGAUAAGCGUGAGUGCUAUGGAUGGCGUUCUCGUAGGGAGACGGGAGCGGAUCCAUAGUGGUGUAUUGAUAUGGUGAAUAUGUGGACUCGUGUGCGCCACCUCAAAAGAGUUACUUGCAGUCGUAGUUCAGGAUAGCCACCGAGUCAAAGCUGGCUUGCUACAGUUAAACCCCACCAUCCCCUUUGUUGAUAAUGAUGCAUAUGUAGUUAGUUCUGAUGUAAGUCUUGCUGGGUACAUUUGUACUCACGUUUGCCUAUUUUAUGUUUUUGCAGAGAGACUUCGGUCUCACUAGUAGUUUCGCGUGGACUUCGACGUUUAGCUUGUUACCUCAGCUACGAUCUUGUGCCCUCGGCAGGAUUUGGUAGAUAGUCAGGCUUCUCAGCCUUUUUCAUUUAUAGUUGUUUGUACUCAGACAUGAUAGCUUCCGCUUGUGCUUUGAUAUGUAUGCUUUGAAUGUUGGGUCAUGAGACCCCUGUUUGUAAUAUCUCGCUCCUCGGAGCCUAUUGAUUAAAUACUUGAGUUAUAGAGUCAUGUUGUGAUGCCAUGUUGUAUUUGCACAUAUCGAGCAUAUUGUGUGUAUGUUAUUGAAAUGCUUGGUAUGUGUGGGAUCUGACCAUCUAGUUGUUUAUCUUUAGUAGCCUCUCUUACGGGGAAAUGUCUCCUAGUGUUUCCACCGAGCCAUGGUAGCUUGCUACUGCUCCGGAACACUUAGGCUGGCCGGCAUGUGUCCUUCUUCGUUCCUGUGUCUGUCCCUUCGGGGAAAUGUCACGCGAUGAAUACCGGAGUCCUGUUAGCCCGCUACAGCCCGGUUCACCGGAGUCCUGCUAGCCCAGUGCUACAGCCUGGAUUCACUCGCUGAUGACCGACACGUUCGAUGCUGGGUCAUGGAUGCCUGUCCUUGUAAGUCUGUGCCACUUUGGGUUUACGAUUAGCCAUGCCAGCCCGGGCUCCUUAUCAUAUGGAUGCUAGCGACACUGUCAUAUACGUGUGCCAAAAGGCGCAAACGGUCCCGGGCAAAGGUAAGGCGACACCCGUGGGAAUACCGUGCGUGAGGCCGCAAAGUGAUAUGAGGUGUUACAUGCUAGAUCGAUGUGGCAUUGAGUCGGGGUCCUGACAGGUUUCAUCCUUCCCUUCUCUUUACGUACUGUUACUCCUUAUGAAGACAUGGUAUGAUUGCACUACCUUUUAUCUUCACUGAGUGACUGCGUGUUCUGUCUGGCUUCAUAAUAUCUUCCUACCUGAUCCUUACUACAUUGCUGCUAUUAGUCAUUGUGCUUUCACUCUAUUGAAUACUUGACUAUGGCUUGCCUAGUGUAGUCUACCUUCCGCUGCAGGGUAAUAGGUUUAUUUCUAUCGUUUGUCUUCAUAACUUCCACGUUUUGAAGACUUUCAUAAAAAUCGCCUAUUCACCUCCCUCUAGUCGAUAUAACGCACUUUAAAUUGGUAUCAGAGCAAGGUACUCCCUUGUUCUGUGUGACUCGGUUUAACCACCUGGAGUUUUAGCUAUGUCGACUGCAGGGAUAAUCAAAGUCUCCACUGCGUGCCCCGUCUUCGAUGGAACAGAAUAUCCCUACUGGAAGAAUAAGAUGCACAUGCAUCUUGAAGCCAUUGAUGUCUACCUCUGGUAUGUCGUCAAGAAUGGCGUCCCCAAGGCUGGUGAAGGUGUCACCGCUGCUGAUGUAAAGAAGUUCGUUCAACUGGACUCCACUGCCAAGAACAUCAUCUAUGGUCAUCUGACCAAAGGGCAGUAUGGCCGUGUGAGUGCUCUGGAAACAUCUAAGCUAGUCUGGGACUGGCUCUCCAAGGUUAACGAAGGCGUCUCAACCCAGAGAGAUCAAAGGAUCAGUGUCCUUUGCAACCUCUUCAACCGCUUCAAGAGAAACAACAAUGAGAAUGUUCAGCUCACGUUUGAUCGCCUUGCUGACAUCACAAAUGAGCUGCAAGCUCUCGGCGCUACUGAGAUCACCAAGCAUGAAAUCAUCAAGACACUCCUGAGAUCACUUGACAGCUCGUUUGACACCCUAGCCCCGAUGAUUCAAGAACGCCCUGACUUCAAGAGACUCGAUCCUUCUGACAUACUUGAAAGGCUUAACACACAUGAGUUUUAGCUUUAUGAGAAAAGAGAUAUCUACGGUCCCAACUAUGGCCGAACUCGUGCCUUGAAGGCAAAAGCUGUUUCCUCAUCUGAAGAAGAAUCUGACUGCAGUUCUAAUGAUCCUGAAGACAUUGGAAGGGAACUUGCUAUGCUUGUGAAGAAGUUCCAAAAAUUCACCAAGAAGAAAGGUUUUAGAAACUCUUCACGAUCAAGCUCAAGGAAUGAUGAAGCUUCUGCUCAUGACUACAAGAAGAAAACAUGUCACAAGUGCAAGAAACCUGGCCACUUCAUCUCUGAGUGUCCUCAGUGGGACAAUGAGAACAAAAAGAAGAAGAAGAGCAAGGAAUAUGACUCUAACGACAAGAAGAAGAAGAAGAAAUACACAAAGUCUUCUUCCAAGUCUUCUUCAAAGUCUUCAUCACACAAGAAGAGCUCAUCAGCCAAGGCACGUGCGUUUGUUGGCAAGGAAAUGGAUUCAGAGGAGGAGUCCGCUUCUGAGGAGGCGGAGGUGGAGUCUGAGGAGGAGUCCGAUUCUGGCGUCGCAAGUCUGGCUACAGCAUACGUUGCCAAGUCCAUCUUCAACACUGAAGACAAUGACCUCAUCACCGACACUGAUGCAAAUGACAAGGACUACUCCGCUCCUACCUACUGCUUCAUGGCACGCGGUGCCAAGGUAAACACAUGCACUACUCACUAUCAAACAUCCAGUGACGAUGACUCUGAUUGUGGUUCAAAACCCAGCUACAAAACACUUGCUAAAAUUGCAACUGAACAACAGAAAGCCAUGGAACAUAUUCAAAAACUGUUAGACAAAAGCGAUGAUCUGUUAGGCGCUGAAAUGACUCGAUCUGAGUCCUUAAUUGAAGACAUAAAAAAUCUUCAUGUUAAGUAUGAGGAACUUGAAAGUCGUCAUGAAACGCUCUCAACAACUCAUGAAAAGCUUUCCUAUGAUUAUAUUCAAAGGAAGCAAGAUCUUGAGAAAUUGAGAGCGGCUCAUGAAGAUCUUUAAAAGGAAAACGAGUCACUUCGCGUCGAACAGAUCAGCUCCACUCAGGAAGGAUUUGAACGACCAUGUCUUAAGUGCAUUGAGCGUGAUAAUGCUACUACUGUUGCUGAAUGUUCUACUGCUGCUACUGUUGCAAUAUCUUCAACUAUUGAUGUGGGAACUAACCCCUCUGCUGAGGAUUCCACUGCUAUUGCUGAUGAGAAUGCUAGGUUGAAGACAUUGCUUGAAAUAGGGAUGUACAAAAGUCUUAAAAGGCAUCAGACACUAUGUGAUGUCCUCAAAAAGCAGAUCUUGAACCGAAACCCGAGGAAAGAGGGUGUUGGGUUCGUAAGGAAAAUGAAUGCUGAUGGCUCUUACUGGAAACCUGAGCAGUACCCCAAAACCACAUGGGUUGCUGCAAAGGAAUCUUCAGCAGAUCUAUCCAAUCUAUCUGGCUUCUCUUGUGCAAAUCCCAUUGUCAUUGAUGAAUCCUUUGAUGCAAACUAUAAAAUGUUUAAGAAUCAGAAUGGUGAACUGUUUGCCUGGUACAUUGGUACUAACUGCAGGAAUGGACCGCCUAUGAAGAAGAUCUGGGUUCCGAAAAAGUGUCUGGAGAAUCUUCCUGUGAAUGUCAUCAUGACAGCACACGUGAAGAAGAUAAACCUCAGACCACAGGCUUCAUACGGUCCAAAGGCUUCAUACAGACAGAGGACUCACCUGAGUCGCACUGACGCAAAUGUUUUGCAGGGAAACCAUACUCGGGCCUAUGAAUAUGAGCAUGGUUCAUCAAAACGCCAUGUUCAUAAGACCAAGAACUAUUCUGCUUAUUCUUAUGAGUACUAUUGUCCGCCUGCAAGACUUUUUGCUAGGGCUCCAAAGCCAAAGUACUCAGAUGCUGCACUUAGACGUAUUGCUUCUAAGCCACCCUUGAAGAUGUGGGUGGCUAAGAAAGCUUAACUCUCUUUUGCAGGGAAAGGUCUCCAGCAGAAAACCAAAAUCGUCUGAUGCUAUUGCUGGGGACCUUAAACAUCUUGUAGGGCGCAAGAUCAAAUGCCCGAAUGGUCUUACUAUGUACUUCGUUCCUGAAUCGCUUGCUACUUUCCCUAUCAGUCCAAAUCUGGAUCUAAGCUUUCAUAACCCACUGGUUCGUCAAAUGUUUUUGCUUCACAAUUCUCUUCGUGAAGCCUAUCCCCCUAACUGCACUAUAGGGUACGACACUAGCGUCUUCAGAAUGGAUUAUUGAUAGUGGGUGUACCAACCACAUGACUGGCAAAAGAAGCCUUCUUAUGGACUCAACCUUACGUCCAUCCGACAAGAGUCACAUCACAUUUGCUGACACUGGUAAAAGUAAGGUAUUGGGUCUAGGUAGAGUUGCAAUCUCAAAGGAUCAACACAAGGAUAAAGUCAUGCUUAUUGAAUCCCUUGGCUUCAACUUAAUGUCUAUCUCAAUGCUUUGCGAUUUGAACAUGAUCGUAAUAUUUGGAAAAUAUCGUUGCCUUGUACUAAUGGAAUCUGACAAGUCUCUAGUGUUUGAAGGGUAUCGGAAAGAUGAUUUGUACGUGGUAGAUUUUUCGACAGGACCACAGCUUGCCAUAUGUCUUCUAGCAAAGGCUUCAGAAUCCUGGCUCUGGCAUCGGAGGCUAGGGCAUGCUGGCAUGAGGAACCUCCACACCCUUGCAAAGAAGAAGCAUGUCAUAGGCAUCGAGGGCGUCAAGUUCAAGAAAGAUCACUUAUGCGGUGCCUGUGAAGCAGGGAAGAUGACGAGGGCCAAACAUCCCUUGAAGACAAUCAUGACAACCACUCGACCCUUCAAACUGCUCCACAUGGAUCUUUUCGGUCCCACUCAUUACUCAACUCUUACUACUACUGCUUGCCUCUAUGGCUUUGUUAUUGUUGAUGAUUAUUCUAGAUAUACUUGGGUGCACAUAAUCCUCUACAAGACUGAAGUGCAGGAUGUCUUCAGACGCUUCGCCAAUCGAGCAAUGAACAACUAUGGUGCCAAGAUAAAGCACAUCAGAAGUGACAAUGGCACUGAAUUCAAGAACACUGGCCUUGAUACAUAUCUUGAUACCUUGGGCAUCACGCAUGAAUUCUCAGCCCCAUACACCCCACAGCAGAAUGGCGUCGUCGAACGCAAGAACAGAACACUCAUUGAGAUGGCCCGAAUGAUGCUUGAUGAAUACAAGACUCCAAGAAAAUUCUGGUCUGAAGCCAUUGAUACUACAUGCCAUACAAUCAAUCGUGUUUAUCUUCACAAGCUUCUGAAUAAGACAUCUUAUGAGCUCCUUACUGGCAAGAAGCCAAAUGUCAGUUACUUCAAAGUAUUUGGUGUCAGGUGCUGGAUCAAGGAUCCACAUCACACUUCAAAAUUUGCACCAAAAGCACAUGAGGGUUUUAUGCUUGGAUAUGGAAAGGAUUCGCACUCCUACAGAGUCUUCAAUCUCUUUCAUUAUAAAUGGUUGAAAUAGUGGAUGUGCGGUUUGAUGAGACUAACGAUUCACAAAGAGAGCACCUCCCAAAUAUGCUAGAUGAAGUUCCAUCCAGCGAAUCAAUCAAGCUUAUGGGAACCGGAGAAAUCAUACCCUCUGAAGCUCAACCUGAAGAGGAACUUAUCAUCUCUGCACCUGAUCAACCUGAAGACAAUGCUCAGCUUGAAGACAAUCCCACUAACAAUGAUAAUGAUCAGCAAUAGCAAAACCUUCGCCCUGUACAUCCUCGUGUUGCCAAUGAAGUGCAGAUUGAGAGAAUAAUUGACAGCAUCAAUGCACCCGGUCCGCUCACUCGAUCAAGGGCAACUCAGCUGGCAAAUUUCUGUGGGCACUUCGCAUUCGUCUCAAUAACAGAACCCAAGAAAGUUGAAGAAGCCUUCAUGGAAUCUGAAUGGAUUCAAGCUAUGCAAGAAGAGCUUCAACAGUUUGAGCUGAAUAAUGUAUGGGAACUGGUUAAGCAUCCUGAUCCUCGGAAGCACAACAUAAUAGGCACCAAAUGGAUAUACCGCAACAAGCAAGAUGAGCAUGGUCAAGUUGUUAGAAACAAAGCUCGUCUCGUUGCUCAAGGAUAUACUCAAGUGGAAGGCAUUGACUUCGAUGAAACAUUCGCUCCUGUGGCUAGACUUGAAGUCAUACGCAUACUGCUGGCCUAUGCCAAUCAUCACAACAUACUUCUAUAUCAAAUGGAUGUGAAGAGCACCUUUCUCAAUGGCAAGAUUGAAGAAGAAGUGUAUGUUGCACAACCGCCUGGCUUUGAAGAUCCAAAACAUCCUGACAUGGUAUACAAGCUCAACAAGGCACUGUAUGGCCUCAAACAAGCCCCUCGGGCCUAGUAUGACACACUCAAAUACUUCCUGAAGAGCAAAGGCUUCAUACUUGGUUCCCUAGACCCCACUCUCUUCACAAAGACAUAUGAUGGUGAACUGUUUGUGUGCCAAAUAUAUGUGGAUGAUAUUAUCUUUGGCUGCACCAAUCAGAAGUACAGUGAAGAGUUUGGAUAUAUGAUGCAAGAGCAAUAUCAGAUGUCCAUGAUGGGAGAGUUGAAGUUCUUCCUCGGUCUCCAAAUACGACAGCAACGCAAUGGCAUCUUCAUAUCUCAAGAGAAGUAUCUCAAAGAUUGUCUGAAGAAGUUCGGUAUGCAAGACUACAAAGGCUUGACGACGCCAAUGCCAGCCAAGCAUCAUCUGGGUCCCGACGACAAUGGUAAAGAGUUCGAUCAAAAGGUAUACCGCUCCAUGAUUGGUUCUUUGCUUUAUCUAUGUGCAUCUAGGCUAGAUAUUAUGCUUAGUGUUUGCAUGUGUGCUCGAUUCCAAGCGGCACCAAAGGAGUCGCAUCACUUAGCUGUGAAGCGAAUUCUUCGAUAUUUGGCUCACACCCCAACUCUAUGAUUAUGGUAUCCAAAGGGCUUAGAGUUUGAUCUGGUUGGAUUCUCGGAUGCUGAUUAUGCUGGUGACAAGGUGGAUCGCAAGUCUACAUCAGGCACAUGUCAUUUUCUGGGACGAUCACUUGUAUGUUGGUCUUCAAAGAAGCAGAACUGUGUAUCUCUCUCCACUGCUGAAUCUGAAUACAUUGCUGCUGGAUCUUGCUGCGCUCAGCUUCUGUGGAUGAAGCAAACACUCAAGGACUAUGGCAUUCAUCUGAAGCAAGUGCCACUCUACUGCGACAACGAAAGCGCCAUCAAGAUUGCCAACAACCCAGUUCGGCACUCGAAGACAAAGCACAUUGAUAUUCGUCAUCACUUUCUCAGAGAUCAUGUUGUGAAGGAAGAUAUUGAUAUCAUACACAUCAACACUGAAGAGCAAUUGGCAGAUAUCUUCACCAAGCCCUUGGAUGAGAAGAGAUUUUGCAAGUUACGGUGUGAGCUAAAUAUCCUGGAAUUCUCAAAUGUCCUGUGAUCAGGCACACAUCCUAACACUUAUGCAUAUUGAUGAAUUAGAUGUGCAACACACGAAGUAAAGUAUAUCUUCAAUCAAUGAAGACAUACAUUCUAAGUGUGAAUACAUUAAUGUGGAAUUUGACUUCGGAGCGCCACGAUAAUUGUGCGCUGUGUCUGGGUCUAAUACUUCCUAUACGGUGGGUUACGCCACCACCAAAUGUUCUGUUUGAAGUGUUUCACUCGUGGCGUUACAUUUGCUAUGUCUUCACAUUUGGUAUUGGCUUCAAUCUCAACAUAUCUUCAUGAUUAUCUUCACUAUGUUGAUUAUAUAGAUAUAUAUAUAUAUACUAGUGUUCUGUCCUCUACAGCAUUCACUUAUAGCUAUGUCUUCUUGUUGAAUCUUUUGAACUAAGUGAAUGUGAUCGGACCCUAACCUCUCUAUGCUUUCUAUCUCAAACUCUAUCUCUCCAAGUCAUAUGCAUUCUAUUGAAACUGUCGAAUGUCUUCUCUGCGUCCUUGUCAGCAGAAGAUACAGAGACAAACAUUAAGUCUGUUUUCAAUGCUCAUUCCUUCACCUGAAAUCCAGAGAAGUGGGAACAACCACCCGACAAUCCAGGCGUGUGUGGGACAUGGAACAACCUCCGACAUGUUGCAUGAUGGCCACGUGUUCCUCAGAUGUGAAUUGCCAGGGGCACCUGUGUAAUAACACUGAGUCGCCCAUGUACCUAUAAAUACACGCCUCGCCGCAGUCAUUAUCUCUUCUUCCACUCUCGCACGAACCCUAGCGCCACUGCUAGCCCUCGACGACGCCGGCGACGAAGCGCUUCGCUGCCGCAACCUCUCCGAUGCCGUCUUCACACCGACCGCGGACAUCGUCUUCUCCGCCAUCGCCGUAGGUGUCCUCCGUCGCCAAGUUAGGGCAUGGACGAUCGAACUGCUCGGCCUCCUCUUCCAGUCCGUCUAGCAGUUCUUCGUGUGGUAAAUAAAACCUCCUUUUUACGGCCUCUUUGAUCCUAUAGCCUUAUCACUUUCUACCACAAGCAGUUUCUAUUCACACAAGUUGGAUCUCUUUCAUACUGCAUCUCAUAACAUGCCUAGUAUAUUCACUUAUGCUUCACAAAGUAGUUAGGUUCCUCACUUGUACUGAUCCAUGGAUUCAUACAAAUCUAGAACCAACUCCUUAUCUAUGAGUGAAUGUCUUCGCACGAUGAGGUUAAUGUCUUCUAAACUGAUUUAUCUUCAAAAUCUUCUGAGAUUCAUAUGACCUCUUCCCCUUCCCUUGCACCUUAAUGCUGUCACAGGUACAUGUCCGUGGGAGAAUCCCUUGGUUCUCAUAGUCUGCAUUCAUUUGUAGAAUUCUUACAGCAUCAUAUAAAUUCUCCCGAAGCCAGUUCCUAUUUGUCCAGCAAGCGAAAGCCUCCGAAGCCUUUGAACGUGUUGAAGCCAUUCAGGUUAAACUUCAUGGCUAUAGAGAAAUCUGCAAGGAAGGGAGGCAGACAGCGUCGUGGGGGAACAUCAAGAUAUUUGCCUGAUGACCUCUCUGAGCUUUACAAGACAGAUCCUGAAGAGAAUUAUAAUCAGCGCAAGACCUGAAUCCAGUAGAUUCGAAGAUAUUGGGCAGAACAGUGGUACAAAUACAGAUUCGUGACCAAGGAAUAUGCUGAGAAGAGUGCUAUCAAAAGUCCUUGGGGUGAUAUUCUCUUCCGAGGCCUUCCACCCAAGACCAAAGCUGAAGCUAUUGCUCAGGGUUUCUAUCCCUGUAUGGUCCGUGGACCUCAGCCUGAAGAUGCCGACCCAUCAUCAUUGCUAUGGUGUCGUGAUGAUAAUCUCUUCAAGCGCAACUUCUAGCACGCAAAGGCAUUGGCCAAGGAAAACAAGAAGUCAUUGGGACUAGACUUCAACCCUGGUCCUUCUGCUCCCCGGGCAGACGGCACACGCGAUGCAGAACCCAAUGUCAUCGGUCCCUUCUAUAAUCUUGGAGGCCUCAUCACUCACAUCGUGGUUCAAGGGACAGCCAUGAAUGAGCCUGCAGAUGACGCUGAAUCAGAUGAAGCGCCUGCAGCGCCGAAGCCAAAGAAGCUGAAGCAGCCAAAAGCUUCAAAGCCGGACUCUGCACCAAAAAUCUCACGGGCGAAGCCACUGGCAACUGCACCUCCUGAAGACAGUGUGCAGUCUGAAGAUUUGUCACGCAUCUCCAAGCCCCAGAAGGUCAAGAUGCCUCUGCCACACACCGGCCAAGAGCUAACAGUUGCUGCCAUUCUGCGCAAUGAUGCCAUUGAUCUGUCAAGUGAUGAAGAUCUUGCAGAUGACGCUCUUGAGCAACUCAUCAAGAGCAAAGAAGAAGCGGAAAUCUUCAAUGAUCUUCCUCUCUUUGACGUGACAAUCAUCCACAACUUCAUUGAUGAGUGGUUUGACACACCAAACAUCAGCUUCGAAGAUCUGCAGCUACCCAUUGGCCUCAGUGUCGCCUUCCAUGGCGCCAUUGCUUCAGAGCUAGCUCUCGCUCAGCGCAUCAUCGAACUGAAGCAAAAGAUUGACUAUGAAAAGGCUCAGUUCAAGAAGCAUAUGGCCAAGCUCAGCGUGCAAGAGGUGAAAAACUUCAAGAUUAUGCUGCACGAGCUCAAAGAAGCCUUUCUCAAGAAAUGCGCAGAAGCUCAGGGUUCUCGGGAGCGCAUGAAGAGCCUAGCUGACAGGUGUGUGCAAGUCUACAAUGAGGCUGAGAAGCGCAAGGCCCUUGGGCAUCCUGUCAUCGACCCCAGGAUGGCUGCAAAGAAGAAGAAGAAGCCCGCUAUGGCCGAACUCGAUGCACCAAGGCAGGAAGCAGAUCCCAUUGUCCUCCCAACUAGCAUGACUGGCUCGAAGUCAAAGGCCAGGUCAACUGCUUCAGAAUUGAAGAAGACGAGGACUGCUAAGGCUGAAGCCAGAAAGAGGAAACAUCCUGAAGCCUCUGCUGCUGCUCCCUCCAAGAAGAAGAGGAAGACCAAGAAAGAACGGGCUGCUCCCAUAGAGCCUUUGAUUGUUGAACCCAUUUCCAUGGUUCGUCCUGACGCUGAACGCCAACUGACAAUCCAUGAGCUUGCUUUCACAGAGGCUCAUGAAGCUGAAGACUUUCCAGCAGCUAAUCCCAUCGCUGCUGAAGACAUUGGUCACCAUGACCAUGUAGAAGAUGGUGCAGUCCUUCCUCAGCUCGAGCACAGCGAACUCAUCAGCAUUGGUCGUCCUCUGACGCCAAUCGCUCAGGAUGGUUCAUGGGCUGACCGCCCACAAGAGGAAGAAGACUUUGAGGCCCAGCCAACUCUAACUACACAGGCGUCGCCUGCGUUGCGCAGGCUUCACAAAGGACCAAGGCCUCCAGUCUCUGCAUCUGAAGCUGAAGCUGCUGAAGACAUUCCGGCUGCAUCAGCCGAUGAAGAAGAAGUCCCACAAGCUGCUACUCCCCUGUCCCACCAAGAAGCAGUUCUCGAGGAGAACGUGAUUGUGACCGACCCUCCAGCUCGUCAAGUGGAGGUUGAAAAUCUUGAGGCUGCCACCACCAACACCACUGAAGCCACUGACGCUGUCAUGGCUGAAGCUAAUGUGGAGCCUUCACCAACAAAAGCAUCAGAAGUCAGCGAAGCCACUGAUCCCACUACUUUUGUUCCUGCGCCUGCUGCCGGCCCUCAGUUCGACUAUCAUGUUGAGCACAGGCCUCAGGUACAGAAGCCAAUCCCAAGAUUGCCCAGGUUCCCAGGUCCUGCAUCAGCACCUGGAUCCUUCAAUAUCAAUGGCUUCAGAGCAGACAACACAUUCUUCAAUAGCUCCAGGAACCCCUACUCAAGGGAAAGAAUAUCAUCUGAUCGGCUCUGGAGCUAUCCGCAGCGAAGCUAUUACUCCUGCAUUCUAUACAAUCAAGGUCGCAUCUUCCCACACAAGCGUCUUGACAUUGAAGCAAUAGCUGGUCUGCCCUGUCUGGAAGAAGCUCUGGAUUGCUUCAAAGAGGUUGGAUUGCUGCCGUUCGUCACUGACCAAGAGCAUUGGAAUGAAGAGUUGCUGCUCCAAUUCUAUGCCACACUUCACAUCCGCGGGUAUAACAGAGAUCCGAAGACUUGGGUCCUGGAGUGGAUGACAGGAAACAUUCAUCACGAAGCCAAAGCCUUUGACAUCAUUGAGCUCACUGGUCUACCCACUCCCGGCGAUCUCUACGAAUCUGGCUGUCAACUUCACAGUGAAGCUGUGGAGAGCAUCUUUCAGAAGCCUGAACCUAACAUGAGUCAGAUGCUCAGUAUGAUGAAGCCAUUACCCCAAGAUGCUGCAUAUCCCAAAGAGUUCUUUGUUGAAGACCUAGAGUAUCUGCCAAGGACUAUUUAUCACAUCAUAAGGCGAACUCUCUAGCCCAUCAAAGGGCACUCUCCACAUGCCAAGCUUGAAGGUGCAAUGAAGACUUUGGUCUUCUAUAUUCUUCAUGGAAAAUGCUUCAAUGCACAGGACUUCUUCAUUCGCCAACUUGCUGCAUUAGGCUCUGAUCUGUUUGGCUUGAAGUUCUACGCCCCAUGGGUAAUGCGGCUGAUCAAACUUCACUCCGCUAUCUCAUAUCAGCCAUCUUAUCGCAAUCAUUGGAUUUUUCUGCCUGAUGUGGAUAUGUCUAUUGAAGCCAUCUAUCCUGAGCCUGCCAAGGAACCUCUAAGUCUUCAGAAUGCAGAGCAUCAAAGUUUUUCUCAGAACAUUGAAGGAGUUGAAGCAGUCACUCGUGUGUAUCCUUUGGCUGGCACUACACGUGCACCGCAUCCUGCUCUCACUGAAGCCACUGACAGUACAACUGCCCCACGAUCCAAGAAGUGCACUCGUGUUCUCAAUGACCGAGAGCUUAUUAUGUCUCUUCAUCAGAAACAUGAUAGGCAUCAUGACUGGCUAAAGCAUCAAAUGCAAAGCCUCUUGGUGGAUGUUAAUCGCAUUCGCAAUCUUGCCACCAAGAAUGCCUUUGUUGCCCAUGAAACCUCUCGACGCACAUGGAAAGGGCUGACGCUGAUGUGUUCUGAAGAUGAUCUUCAAGAGGAUGGCUUCUUUGAGCGCUUCAAGUUUGACUCCACACCUCCUCGAAGGGCAGUGCUGCGACGAACUCCAUCUCUUGAAGACUCUGAGUUCUCUUCCUCUGCUGCAACUAUAAAUGCCAAAGUGAUCGAGGAUGACGACGAUGCUACUUCACCGCCGCCUCCUUCAGCACGCUUCGACACUGCUCCAAGCUCUUCUGCACCACCGAACACCACCAACGACCCUGCUGCUUCACCUACUCUUCAUGGGAACGAGUAGAGGCUCUAUGUCUUCAAACCUUUUUGGUCCUUACUGACAAAAGGGGGAGAAGCAUAUGAGUUUAAUAGUCUUCAAGCGGGUCCAUAUGGGCGGGUGCUUCAUAUUUUGCUUCGUGUUUACAACUCUCGUUUUGAUACAUUUGGUUCUUUGAGUUGUAACACUUAAACUCGAUGGUCAUCUGCUACCUAUUUGCCAUUUUGUGAUGCGAUGAUAAAUUCCGCAUGUGCGACGAUAAAUUCCGCACUUAGAUCAUUUUGCAGACGUCCAUUUUUCAUUAUGCAUGUCAUUAUCUUCACAUACCUUCACAUGCAUAGUGGAUUGUCAUCAUAAGUUGAAGAGGAUCUCCACAAGCACAACCUGCCAUGUGCAUUUGCAUUCCAAAAGCAAACUACUUAAAUGCACAUCUUCAGGGGGAGCCCUUGCAACUUAUGAAGACAAUUCCUUAUCCUUUACAAUUUCACAUAUUAUAUUCCCCGUUGAAAACUUCAACUAGUUUGUCAUCAAUCACCAAAAAGGGGGAGAUUGUAAGUGCAUCUAGUGCCACCCCUAGUUGGUUUUGGAGUAUUGACGACAAACCUAGUUGAGGGACUAAUGUGUUUGUGAGAAUUGCAGGAUAACACAGGUAGAAGUCCCUCAUUGAUUCAGUUUUCCUACCAGAGAUGACCCCUAAAAAUGUAUGAAGACAUUGAUGUCAAAGGUGGUAUAUGAAGAUAUUCACAUUGAAGACUAUGACAAGAGAAGACAUCGCAUGAAGCCUAUGGAGCUCGAAGACUUAGAUCUUUCGUAGUUCUUUUUCUUCUUCUUUGUUGAGUCAUAGAAACCACCGUACUGUUAAGUGGGGUCCAAGAGAACCAGUCAGAAUGACUGAAGUGAUGCUUAACCAAAACCUAUGUCUUCGAGUGAAGACUAUGAGAGCGAAUCUUGUCCGGAGUCGGACAAGUCAGCUUUGCUUGUAGCCCAAGUAAAGUUGUUGUGUGAGUUUGAAAUCUGACCGUUGGAACACGUGUCAGUUCCUUAGUGACCCAGGGUCAUUUCGGACAAAUCAGGUCGGGUUGCCUAGUGGCUAUAAAUAGCCCACCCCCGACAACCAUAAACGAUUGGCUGCUUAGAGUUAGUGUACGGCUUUUGUCGUUUGAGAGCAACCCACCUCGAAGCCCUUGAGAGAGAAUUCCUUGCGAGGAUAAAGCCCUAACCACCCAGAGCCAAAGAGAAUUAGGCAUCACUUAAAUCUUCUUGUCUGUGUGAUCUGAAGACUUAUUACACUUGAGGACUGUGAAUCCUCCAGCCGGUUAGGCGCCGCGUUCUGAGCAUCCAAGAGACAUUGUGGAUUGCCGGUGAACGAAGUCUGUGAAGGUUUGGGAGUCUACCUUGAAGACUUACCAGAGUGAUUGGGCGAGGUCUGUGUGACCUUAGCUCAAGGGGAAUACGGGGAGGACUGGGUGUCCUGAGCUGCGUGUUCAGGACUGGGUGUCCGGGACUGUGUGUCCUCAGGUUUAAAUACCUAGCUGCCCUAACCAGACGUACAGUUGUCACAGCAACUGGAACUAGUCCAACACAUCAUUGUCUUCAACGAGUCACUGGUUUCAUCCUUCCCUUCUCUUUACGUACUGUUACUCCUUGUGAAGACAUUGUAUGAUUGCACUACGUUUUAUCUUCACUGAGUGACUGCGUGUUCUGUCUGGCUUCAUAAUAUCUUCCUACCUGAUCCUUACUACAUUGCUGCUAUUAGUCAUUGUGCUUUCACUCUAUUGAAUACUUGACUAUGGCUUGCCUAGUGUAGUCUACUUUCCGCUGCAGGGUAAUAGGUUUAUUUCUAUCGUUUGUCUUCAUAACUUCCACGUUUUGAAGACUUUCAUAAAAAUCGCCUAUUCACCCCCCCCCCCUCUAGUCGAUAUAACGCACUUUCAAUAACCAUAUGGCUCCUGCUAGUUGCCGAUAACUCUGUUACAAAACAUGAUCAUCUCAUACAAUAAAAUUUAGCAUCAUGUCUUGACCAUAUCACAUCACAACAUGCCUUGAAAAACAAGUUAGACGUCCUCUACUUUGUUGUUGCAAGUUUUACGUGGCUGCUACGGGCUGAGCAAGAACCGUUCUUCCCUACGCAUCAAAAACCACAACGCGGUAUAGUGAUUGCUUUUUGAUCUUCAGAAAGAACCAUGUUCAUUGAAUCCGAUUCAACUAAAGCUGGAAAAACAGACACCCACUAGUCACCUGUGUGCGAAGCACGUCGGUAGAACUAGUCUCAUGUAAGCGUACACGUAAUGUCGGUCUGGGCCACUUCAUCCAACAAUGCCACUGAAUCAAGAAUCAACUAGUGACGACAAGCAAUAUGUAUAUACCCACGCCCACAACUCCUUUGUGUUCUACUCGUGCAUAUAACAUCUACGCAUAAACCUGGCUCGGAUCCCAUUGUUGGGGAACGCGGUAAUUUCAAAAAAAAAAUCCUACGCACACGCAAGAUCUAUCAUGGUGAUGCAUAGCAACAAGAGGGGAAGAGUGUUGUACAUGUACCCUCGUAGACCAUAAGCGGAAGCGUUAUGACAACGCGGUUGAUGUAGUCGUAUGUAUUCACGAUCGACCGAUCCUAGUACCGAAGUUACGGCACCUCCGCAAUCUGCACACGUUCGGAUCGGUGACGUCCUACGAACUCACGAUCCAGCAGAGUGUCGAGGGAGAGAUUCGUCAGCACGACGGCGUGAUGACGGUGAUGAUGAUGCUACCGGAACAGGGCUUCGCCUAAGCACCGCUACGAUAUGACCGAGGUGGAUUAUGGUGGAGGGGGGCACCGCACACAGCUAAGAGAUCAAUGAUCAACUUGUGUGUCCAUGGGGUGCCCCCCUCCUCCUCGUAUAUAAAGGAGUGGAGGAGGGGAGGGGUCGUCCCUCUCUAUGGCGCGUCCUAGGGGAGUCCUACUCCCACCGGGGGUAGGAUUCCCCCCUUCCCUAGUUGGAGNNNNNNNNNNNNNNNNNNNNNNNNNNNNNNNNNNNNNNNNNNNNNNNNNNNNNNNNNNNNNNNNNNNNNNNNNNNNNNNNNNNNNNNNNNNNNNNNNNNNNNNNNNNNNNNNNNNNNNNNNNNNNNNNNNNNNNNNNNNNNNNNNNNNNNNNNNNNNNNNNNNNNNNNNNNNNNNNNNNNNNNNNNNNNNNNNNNNNNNNNNNNNNNNNNNNNNNNNNNNNNNNNNNNNNNNNNNNNNNNNNNNNNNNNNNNNNNNNNNNNNNNNNNNNNNNNNNNNNNNNNNNNNNNNNNNNNNNNNNNNNNNNNNNNNNNNNNNNNNNNNNNNNNNNNNNNNNNNNNNNNNNNNNNNNNNCCUGCCCAAGGGGGGGCACCAGCCCCUUGUGGGCCGGUGUGCUUCCUUCUUAUGGCCCAUAAGGCCAAUAACUUCUCCCGGGGGGUUUCGGUAACCUCCCGGUACUCCGUAAAAAUGCCCGAACCACUCGGAACCAUUCCGAUGUCCAAAGAUAGGCUUCCAAUAUAUUGAUCUUUAUGUAUCGACCAUUUCGAGACUCCUCAUCAUGCUCGUGAUCACAUCCGGGACUCCAAACAACCUUCGGUUCAUCAAAACACAUAAACUCAUAAUACCGAUCAUCACCGAACGUUAAGCGUGCGGACCCUACGGGUUCGAGAACUAUGUAGACAUGACCGAGACUCACUUUCGGUCAAUAACCAAUAGCGGAACCUGGAUGCUCAUAUUGGUUCCUACAUAUUCUAUGAAGAUCUUUAUCGGUCAAACCGCAUAACAACAUACGUUGUUCCCUUUGUCAUCGGUAUGUUACUUACCCGAGAUUCGAUCGUCGGUAUCUUAAUACUUAGUUCAAUCUCGUUACCGGCAAGUCUCUUUACUCAUUCAGUAAUGCAUCAUCCCGCAACUAACUCAUUAGUCACAUUGCUUGCAAGGCUUAUAAUGAUGUGCAUUACCGAGAGGGCCCAAAGAUACCUCUCUAACAAUCGGAGUGACAAAUCCUAAUCUCGAUCUAUGCCAACUCAACAAGUACCAUCGGAGACACCUGUAGAGCACCUUUAUAAUCACCCAGUUACGUUCUGAUGUUUGGUAGCACAUAAAGUGUUCCUCCGGUAUUCGGGAGUUGCAUGAUCUCAUAGUCAUAGGAACUUGUAUAAGUUAUGGAGAAAGCAAUAGCAACAAACUAAACGAUCAUCGUGCUAAGCUAACGGAUGGGUCAAGUCAAUCACAUCAUUCUCUAAUGAUGUGAUUCCCGUUAGUCAAAUGACAACUCAUGCCUAUGGUUAGGAAACAUAAUCAUUAUUGAUUCAACGAGCUAGUCAAGUAGAGGCAAACUAGUGACACUCUGUUUGUCUAUGUAUUCACACAUGUACUAAGUUUCUGGUUAAUACAAUUUUAGCAUGAAUAAUAAACAUUUAUCAUGAUAUAAGGAAAUAAAUAACAACUUUAUUAUUGCCUCUAGGGCAUAUUUCUUUCAGGAUCAAGAAGGCGGAGUACGUCACCGAGCUGAACGUGUGCAGAAUGCAGAGGUGCCGUACGUUCAGUACUUGAUCGGUUGGAGCGUGAAGAAGUUCGACUACAUCAACCGCGUUGUUAAACGCUUCCGCUUACGGUCAACGAGGAUACGUAGACACACUCUCCCCCUCUCGUUUCUAUGCAUCUCCAUGGAUAGAUCAUUGCGUGUGUGUAGAAUUUUUUUUUUGUUUUCCAUGCAGCGAUUCCCAACACCACACGCCUCAAUGCGCUCGUUUUUCACUAUUUUUAUGUUUUUAGUUUCCAUUUUUUUGCUUACUUUUUUCCCUUACCAUGUGGUAGUACAUAUAGUACUUUAUCAUUUUUAAUAUGUUCACAUACUAUAUCUAACAUAAUCCAAAGUGUAUGAAAAGUUGCAAGUGGGCCCAUUGUUUUUAUUAUAUUGUAAAAUAUGUACAUAUUUGUAUGUUAAAAGAAGCAUGCUAAAAAUAUGGUACAUACCUUAUAAAAAGUAUAUAUACUGCAUAAACAUUCUAAUAUACUACAUACUACACAUACAUACACUUAAAAAUGGUAGAUACUAAAUACAACAUACAAAAUAAAAGUGGGUGUAACUACACCCGAUAGUAGCAAAAAAUACUUUUCAUAAAAAAUUGAAAAAUGUUAAGUGUGCACAGAAAAAAUGUUUCUCAUGUAUACGAAAAUAUAUACAAAAUAUAUAUAAUUUAUAAAUGUAUACGACAAAUUUACAACAUGUAUUCUAAAAAUGUAAAUUGUGCAUUUAAAAAAUGUUAACCUUGUAUACAAAAAUGUUCCUUGUGUACAUGAAAAAGGUACAUUGUGUAUGGAAAAAGUAGACAUCAAAACCAUAUAUUGGACAAAAAUGUCAGGUAUAUACCAAAAAUGUACAUUGUGUGUGUUCUUUUUUAUUACCAUUAGAAAAAUGUUGACCAUGUAUCUGAAAAAAAUAUUGACUAUGUAUUAAAAAAGUGUUCAAAACAUUUAUUUAAGAAAAAUGUGCAUUGUGUAUUUUAAAAAAUUCAACAUGUAUCAACAAAAUGUUUCGCGUGUACACUAAGAAUGUACAUUGUGUACUAAAAAAAUUAGACAUGUGUUGACAAAGUAACCAAUGAAAAGCGACAAAGAAACAAAGAGAAACGAAGAAAACCAAUGAAAACUGAAAUGGGACAAUAAAAUCAAAGAAACCAACAGAAAUGUAUGAAAACAGUGAAAACCCAGAAAAAGACGAAAAACUGGGAAAAGAAACAAAAAAUAGUAGAAAAAAGUAAAGAAAAGAAAACAUCAAUGAGAAAAAAAAUAAAAGAAACAACAUAACAGAAACAAAAUCAUAGAAAAAAGAAAACAAUGAAAAUGAAAAAAAGACCGAAGAAAACCAGUGAAAGAAGUAAAGAAGCCCAGAAAAAAUAGAGACAACCAUGAUGAAAUGAAGAAAACCGAAAAAAAACAAGAUAAUAGAAAAUAAAAAAAUACCAAAAAUCAGUACAACCCAUAGAACGGAGAUAUUCACUGAGAAGAAAUGAGCGAGCGAUCUGUCUGUCAUCCUGACCGAGCGAUCGAGGAGAAGAAAUGGGUUGUCCCAUUACACGCAUGUGGAAAAAAAAUCUGCUGAGGGCAUCGUAGGACCCUAUAAGCGAGAAAUAGUCCCCAUACCUAUCUGUCGAUCUUUGCGGCGGAUUGGCAGGGCAACAUACAGGCAACCGUCCGACUAGGCCGGCCCACUAGCUUAUGCAGCGAACCAGAAAACCAGACCAUGUAUUAUAGUGGAUUUGUCUCGAAAAAAUGUAUUAUAGUGGAUCGAACGGAUUACCAUAACGAACCAGACCAAGGCACUGUAGCGAAUAUUUUUUAGAAAAAAAAUUGAGAACAACUUUUUCUCUUUUUGCGGGUGAAAGAACUUUAUAUUACUUAAUCACAAGGUCUUUACAAUCUCCAAAGUCUCCACAAAGCCGGACCCUAGCCAAGUCAUAGUCUGACCUUCUAGUCUAGCAAACCUUCAACUAUCACUAGCUUUAUUCCGAGAAUGAGAACGAGAGACAUAAGUAAUACAAGUUUGUAUAAGGCCCAUUAAGAAUCUAAGCUCAUUAGCCAACGAAGCACACAUUGAAUGGUCCACCUCUUCAAAUAAAAUCAUAGACACAACCAUGCUCAAGUCCAUCUUGACGACGAUCGCCGUUUCAGUGAUAAGCUAUACAUGCGCCUAGCUCUGCCUCUAAGAGCAUCUUUAGCCGUUGGCCCUCUCAGGAGGCAAAAAAACCGCCGCCUGGGGGCGAGCCAGCGGUCGAAUCCGCUCUGGGGGCCAGCCGUCGCCCCCAGGUCACCCCAGGCACCGAUAUCGGCCCAGUUUUUGGCCCACUUUCGGCGAAAAGUGACCCGAUAUCAGCGAGAAUCGGUCCAUAUUCGACGUGGUUCGGCAUUGAAUUGUAACAUAAAUAUUUUUUUAUCACAUAGUUCAUCAUAGAAAAUCAAAUAGUUUAACAAAAUAGUGCAACAACAAAUAGUUCAAUACAAAUUAUAUAGUUCAACAAAUAAAAACUCAUAUUUCUUCACACGUCGAGCCCAGCGUCGCCCUUAAUCCUCCAUAGGUGCUCCACCAGAUCCUGCUGUAGUUGAUGAUGCACCUGUGGGUCUCGGAUCUCCUGACACAUACUGAGGUAGGCAGUCCAGGUUGCCUGUAGCUGGUGAUCAACUUCGGCUAGAGGACCCUGCCUGUAGUAUGGUUCAGUGUCAAACACUGGCUCUUCCUGCUUGCUCUCGAUGAUCAUGUUGUGCAAGAUGACAUAGCAAGUCAUGAUCUCCCACAUUUGAUCUUUCGACCAGGUCUGAGCAGGGCACAGGACAACAACAAAUCGAGAUUGGAGCACACCAAAUGCCCGCUCGACAUCCUUCCUGCAAGCCUCCUGAACCUUAUCAAAGUGGGACUUCUUGCCUCCUAGCACAGCGUUUGAGAUAGUCUUCACAAAUGUAGACCAUCUCGGAUAGAUGCCAUCAGUGUUCGGGAACAUAGUAAUUUUUUUAAAAAAAAUCAUACGCACACGCAAGAUCAUGGUGAUGCAUAGCAACGAGAGGGAAGAGUAUCGUCCACGUACCCUCCUAGACCGUAAGCGGAAGCGUUAUGAGAACGCGGUUGAUGUAGUCGAACGUCUUCACAAUCCGACCGAUCCAAGUACCGAACGCACGACACCUCCGAGUUCAGCACACGUUCAGCUUGAUGACGUCCCACGAACUCCGAUCCAGCAGAGCUUAGCGAAGAGUUCCGUCAGCACGAUGGCAUGAUGACGGUGAUGAUGUUGCUACCGACACAGGGCUUCGCCUAAGCACCGCUACGAUAUGAUCGAGGUGGAUUAUGGUGGAGGGGGCACCACACACGGCUAAGGGAUCAUGUAACGCCCCGAGACCGAUGUGCCAGGUAUCGUCCAGUUAUUCGCUGUUGUUGCCUUGUCAUUGCUUGUGUGUCAUGCAUUGCAUAUCAUGUCAUCAUGUGCAUUUCAUUUGCAUACAUGUUCGUCUCAUGCAUCCGAGCAUUUUUCCCGUUGCCCGUUUUGUAAUCCGGCGCUCCUAUGUCACCCGGUGCCCCUUCCUACCUCUUUUCGUGUGUGGGGGUUAAAUAUUUUCGGAUUGGACCGAGACUUGUCUUGCGGCCUUGGUUUACUACCAGUAGACCGCCUGUCAAGUUUCAUAUCAUUUGGACUUCGUUUGAUACUCCAACGGUUAACCGAGGGACCGAGAAGGCCUCGCGUGUGUUGCAGCCCAACACCCUUCCAAAGUGGCCCAAAACCCACUUAAACCUCCUCCAUCAUCUCGGUCGUUCGAUCACGAUCGCGUGGCCGAAAACCGUGUCUCCGAUUCCGGUGUUCUUUAUAUCGAUUUCAACCGAAAUCACCUCACCUUUCCAGUGGCACACUUGGAUUUCCAAGUUGAGGCCAGGUUCUUUCUUUCCCUUGCAAAUCAUGCAUAUGCAUCGCAUACCGCAUCCCGCAUAUCAUACCAUGUUCAUGUGUUGGUUGUUUACUAUGUUGUGUGCUUCUUUCCGGUGUUGCUUCUUCGGGUUGGUUCCGAUAACGUCGCAUUUGUGAGGAUUCGUUCGUCUACGCCCGUUUGUCUUCUUCAUGGUCUCAGUCUUCUUCCUUGCGGGAUUUCAGGCAAGAUGAUCAUACCCUCGAAAUCACUUCUAUCUUUGCUUGCUAGUUGCUCGCUCUUUUGCUAUGCCUAUGCUGUGAUACCUACCACUUGCUUAUCAUGCCUCCCAUAUUGUUAAACCAAGCCUCUAACCCACCUUGUCCUAGCAAACCGUUGUUUGGCUAUGUUACCGCUUUGCUCAGCCCCUCUUAUAGCGUUGUUAGUUGCAGGUGAAGAUUGAAGUUUGUUCCUUGUUGGAACAUGGAGAUCGUUCCUUGUUGGAACAUUGUUUACUUGUUGGGAUAUCACAAUAUAUCUUAUCUAAUUAAUGCAUCUAUAUACUUGGUAAAGGGUGGAAGGCUCGGCCUUAUGCCUGGUGUUUUGUUCCACUCUUGCCGCCCUAGUUUCCGUCAUAUCGGUGUUAUGUUCCCGGAUUUUGCGUUCCUUACGCGGUUGGGUUAUAAUGGGAACCCCUUGACAGUUCGCCUUGAAUAAAACUCCUCCAGCAAGGCCCAACCUUGGUUUUACCAUUUGCCACCUAGCUUUUUUCUUUCCCUUGGGUCGGCCAGCCCAAGGGUCAUCUUUAUUAAACCCCCCGGGCCAGUGCUCCUCUGAGUGUUGGUCCAACCCAGAGCACCGUGCGGGGCCGUCCCUUGGCAACUUGGGUUACGUUGGCUCCCGUAUGCUUAGCUUAUCCGGUGUGCCCUGAGAACGAGAUAUGUGCAGCUCCUAUCGGGAUUUGUCGGCACAGCGGGUGGUCUUGCUGGACUUGUUUUACCAUUGUCGAGGAUGUCUUUAACCGGGAUUCCGAGUCUGAUCGGGUCUUCCCGCUAGAAGGAAUAUCCGUCUUUGACCAUGAGAGCUUGUGAUGGGCUAAGUUGGGACACCCCUGCAGGGAUUUGAACUUUCGAAAGUCGUGUCCGCGGUUAUGGGCAGAUGGGAAUUUGUUAACGUCCGGUUGUAGAAAACCUGAAGUUGACCUUAAUUAAAAUACAUCAACCGCGUGUGUAACCGUGAUGGUCUCUUUCCGGCAGAGUCCGGGAAGUGAACACGGUGUUGGAGUAAUGCUUGACGUUAGGUUAUUCUAGGAUCACUUCUUGAUCAUAGUUUCUCGACCGUGCUUUGUCUUCUCUUCUCGCUCUCAUUUGCGUAUGUUAGCCACCAUAUAUGCUAGUCGCUUGCUGCAGUUCCACUUCAUACCUUUACCUUACCCAUAAGCUUAAAUAGUCUUGAUCGCGAGGGUGCGAGAUUGCUGAGUCCCCGUGGCUCACAGAUACUUCCAAAACCAGCUUGCGGGUGCCGAUGAGUUCGUGCCGAUGACGCAACCAAGCUCAGGAGGAGCUCGAUGAAGAUCUUGUUCUUUAUGUUGUUUCGUUCUAGUUGAUCAGUAGUGGAGCCCAGUUGGGGUCGAUCGGGGACCUUGUCGCAUUUGGGGUUCUUCUUUUAUUUUGGUUCCGUAGUCGGACCUUGAUUGUAUCUGGUUGAUGUAAUGCUUUAUUCAUGUAUUUGUGUGAAGUGGCGAUUGUAAGCCUACUAUGUAUCUUUCCCUUAUGUAUUACAUGAGUUGUGUGAAGAUUGCCUUACUUGCGACAUUGCUUUCAACGCGGUUAUGCCUCUAAGUCGUGCUUCGACACGUAGGAGAUAUAGCCGCAUUGAGGGCAUUAUAAGUUGGUAUCAGAGCCUUCCCCGACCUUAGGAGCCCCCCUGCUUGAUCGAAUUAGCUGACGAGUUGAGUCUAGAAAAAAAAUUUGAGUCAUUUAGGAAUUAUAUAUUGGAGAGUUAGGAAUUCUUUUUACUCCUCAGUCCCUUCGUCGCUCUGGUGAGGCAUCCUGGCGUAGAGUUUUGACUCUUCUCUUCUCAAAUUUCACUUAAAUUUUUUUAGGAUCACGCGGGUAUCUUGGAAUCAUUCCGAUAGUUUUGUGACGAGAACAUUGUUCUUGGUGCCUCCUGUCAUUUAGGGGUUGUGGUAGUGUCCCGGGGAGUUGAGCUCCGAGGUGUUGUCGUCACAAUUUUAUCGUUGCAGUUCUGGAAUAACUGAGUUUAGUUUCGCCGACAUCGAAAAUCUCUUUUAUGCAGUUGUUGGUGAGAUAACCUGGACGCCACCCAGUACUGGGGCGGGAGUUCGGGAGUAUUGCCAUAACUCGUAUAACGGAUGCUUUUUGAAGGUUGAGGUAGAUGAUUUCCGAAGGUUUCUUGGUUAUGUGUUGAAGGAUGGAUACAGCUGGAUGUAGGAUUUGCUAGAUUUGGGUGAGAUAUUAUGCUUCCCCUGUAUCCCCAACACCUGAUUGCAUAACCGGAAAAUUUCGGGAGUUUAUAAGUUGGAAUUCAAGUAACUCUUAGGAUAUCUUUCCGACAGAUGUAUGAUAUGAAAUUGGGGUUCGACGUCUAGUGGUCCGCCUAUUCAUGGUUGGUUUUACAGUGGUCUCGUUGUGUCUUAAAGAGUCCUUGGCUAUGCCGACUCGGGGAUGCUUCGUAUGUCAUGUGCACUGCCUUGUACAUGAUGGUGCUGUACGAUCGAGCCCGUGUAGGUCCCACCACGAAAACUUCGGACGAAAUCUCUAUCAUAUGUUUGUUCCGUCUUAUUUUGCAAGCCAAUCCUUAUUUUGUUUUCAGUUGUGGUAUUCGAGUUGCUUCGAAGUCAAAUGUUGAUUCCAUACCUUUUCCAAGUGGUGUUCUCAUGUUCCUAUGUGAAUAACAAUCCUUCAUGAUAAUCGAGAUUGUCAUGUCAAUCCUUUUCAACCAGUGUGUCUCUCGUCAAGCAGAUCCGUUCAUUUCCAACAUCCGCAAGAUUCAAUCUCAGCUUUCGCAACGGUGUUCAUUUCAUACAUCCCAAGUUGUCCUUGUUGUCCCUCCCUCCCUCCCUUUUUCCUCAAGGACUCAGAUUUCUUAAUCAAGCAUCCUUUUUAUUCUUGUGAAGUCUCUCCACUCUUUUCAAUCAAUAUCCUUAUCUGGUGAUUCUCAUGAAGAUUCUAAUGGAGCUCCAAGUUCGUCAUUCUUCAUUCUUUUCAUCUCCGGUGGUUUCAAGUCAAGCUUUGUUGAUCAUAUGUUUUCCUCAUUUAAAUGCUUACUUAUGCCAGUGCACCUCUUAAUCUUCCCCGCUUGCCAUUCAAUUGUUCCGGAGUGUUCAAGAUAUCUUGAAGAUUCGUGUUUCCACUCUGCUUUCGUAAUCCUUUCAAGCUCUUUCGAGGUUGUUAUCUCAUUCUAGCCAUUUAAUCUUACCGGUGCAUUCUCUCUUUUAAAUCAUUCUACGGUGUUUCUUUUGAGUGGGCCCUAACCCACAGGUCUUUUCCCAGGAUCUUACCUGACUCUUCUUUUUUUUCCCGGCGUUACUCUAAAAUUCUUUCCAAGUUUGACGUAAGAAUGAUUUAUCAUCAGUCAUAUGUCUUCCUCCAAGAUCUUUCAAAUUCUUUUCAUCGUUGGUUCAACCUUUCUAAUUUUCAUCCCGGAGUAUCUCAACAAUUUGGUGGUGUUUCUCGUCGUCAUUCUCAGAUUUGAAGACCGAAGAAGAGUUUCUCUUUAAUCUUGCUCCAUUCUCUUCAAGAUUCGGGAUUCUAGCUUGUUGCCAUCAUCUCAUAAUUAUUUUCGAUUGUGGGAAUUCUUUUCACCUAUCCGGAGCAAUUCAAGAGUCUUCUCAGUUUGUUAUCCAGAGUUCAUCAAUUCAGGUUUAUUCAUUCUCAGCUUUCAGUUUUCAUUCUCCAAGCUUACCGGUGCUUCGUUCAAGUAAUCUCUAAUCGGCUCGUGAUCUCUUUGUUCUCAUGUAUCUAAAUCCUCUCAAGCAUCCUCGUUCAUUUUAUAAUUCUUCCCGGUGUUUCUUUAUCUUCUCGUCGUUCAUUUUCAAUUCUUAUGGUGGUUCAUUCAAGAGUCCUCGGCAUUCAUUGUCAUAUCAAUUCUUUCGUUCUUUCAAAUCCUACCGGUGGAUCAUUGAAGGCCUCUUUAAGUUUGCGCAAUAUCUAUCUUAAUCCUUUCUAAGAGAGUAAGUAGUAUGCCAAAUCCGUUGUUUGUCAUCAAUUUAAAUUGGUGAAGGAUACGCAUAACGUAAUUCUUAUUCUUGCUUCAUCCAACUGUUUAAUUCCUUAUUCCGGAGGCUUAUCAAAUUCUUGUUUCCAAUUGUUCAUCUUCUCUUUUUCCCGGAGUUCCAACCUUUUUCAACUAUUUCAUCACGGAGAUCCAUCUAAGUCAUUACAAGGAUUCACCUUGUGUUUUUCAACUUCUCUUUUUCUCUCGUUAUCCUUUGGUUACCGGAGUUCUUCAUGAAGGUUCUAUAUAAUGGUUCAUCAAGGAUUUAUAUUCCUUCUCAAAGUGUUCAUAGAGAUUCUUUUCUAAGGAGCUCAAGCAUUCUUCAUCUUGCUAUCCAGAGUGCAAUUCUUUCUUCCGUAUUAUUGGAGGUGGUAUUAUGCCAUUCUUGAUAAUUUGAGUUCAUGUUUCAUGAUUCACAUGUUGUCAAGGAUGAGAUAUUUUAAAUCCAUCAUUUUCUUCAUUGGAAUUAUCUUGGGUUAUAUUUCACCUAAAGCUUGCCUUUAAGGAUUGUCGCUCUCUUGGUGUUUAUCAAGGACCCAAGUUCUUCUUUAUCCUCCCGGUGAUAUACGUUCUCGUCUACUUGGUCAUACCAAUCCAAUUCUUUUCCCGUGAGUGGCAGGUUGUCACCUCAUAAUUUGAGAUGUAUUCCAUAAGACCAUAUCAAGCUUAUUCUUUUCGUUGUUGGCUUUUCCAACAACUCAGUGCGAACCUUCUCCUUAAAAUGCUUUUCAAGCUCAUCGGAGGUAGAAGAUGUUGUUUUCUUCUCCGUUCUUAUGUUCCGACGAUCCAACUUCUAUUCUUUCAUUCCAGAGGCAUUGUGAUGUUGCUCUUUUCAACCUUUCUUCUUAUUUUUGUCAGGACCUUAUUUUUUUCAAACCUAUCCACUUAACCGGAGUGUUGUGUCACUUUUGCUCAAGCUCUUUCAUUUUUCAAGGCAUUCAUCUCCUUUCAACCGAAAUGCUACCCGAAUCGGUUCUUUCUUAUUCCUCUGUCUUUACGGAGUGCUUUCAACUUUGUUCACCUCUGUUGCUUUCUUUCUUUCAUUUGUUCAACCUUUCAAGGUUCAUGGUUUCACUCGUUUGUCAAUGAAGCAACUUAGUUUUACGUCUCCUAUUUUCUCUUCCGUUUGUUCCUCCGGUGCCAUUCUAGAUCUCGGGACGAGAUCCUCUCAUAGUGGUGGAGUGUUGUAACGCCCCGAGACCGAUGUGCCAAGUGUCAUCCAGUUAUUCGCUGUUGUUGCCUUGUCAUUGCUUGCGUGUCAUGCAUUGCAUAUCAUGUCAUCAUGUGCAUUUCAUUUGCAUACAUGUUCGUCUCAUGCAUCCGAGCAUUUUUCCCGUUGCCCGUUUUGCAAUCUGGCGCUCCUAUGUCACCCGGUGCCCCUUUCUACCUCUUUUCGUGUGUGGGGGUUAAACAUUUCCGGAUUGGACCGAGACUUGUCUUGCGGCCUUGGUUUACUACCAGUAGACCGCCUGUCAAGUUUCGUAUCAUUUGGACUUCGUUUGAUACUCCAACGGUUAACCGAGGGACCAAGAAGGCCUCGUGUGUGUUGCAGCCCAACACCCUUCCAAAGUGGCCCGAAACCCACUUAAACCUCCUCCAUCAUCUCGGUCGUUCGAUCACGAUCGCGUGGCCGAAAACCGCACCUCAUUUGGACUCUCCUAGCUCCCUCUACCUAUAAAUAUGUGAUCCCCUCCGAAAUUUCGCGGUACAAACCCUAGCCUUCCCCUUCCUCGCGCCGCCGGACAUUUUCUCCCGCGCUGGCCGGACAUGUCCGCCGCGCCGCCGCCACGUCGCCCGGCCAAUGGCGUUGCGCCAUGUCGCCCCAUCCGCCGCCUCAGCCACUAGCGGAGCGCCACCUGGCCUCCCGCUCCUCCCCGCCGCCGCGGCCCACGGAGCCCGUUGCGGGCCCAGAUCCACCGCCGCCUGCNNNNNNNNNNNNNNNNNNNNNNNNNNNNNNNNNNNNNNNNNNNNNNNNNNNNNNNNNNNNNNNNNNNNNNNNNNNNNNNNNNNNNNNNNNNNNNNNNNNNNNNNNNNNNNNNNNNNNNNNNNNNNNNNNNNNNNNNNNNNNNNNNNNNNNNNNNNNNNNNNNNNNNNNNNNNNNNNNNNNNNNNNNNNNNNNNNNNNNNNNNNNNNNNNNNNNNNNNNNNNNNNNNNNNNNNNNNNNNNNNNNNNNNNNNNNNNNNNNNNNNNNNNNNNNNNNNNNNNNNNNNNNNNNNNNNNNNNNNNNNNNNNNNNNNNNNNNNNNNNNGACGCGCCCCGGCCGCGCCGCCCGCUCACCGCCGCGGCGAGCUCGCCGCCCGGUCACCGGAGCUCCUCUCCGACGAGCUCGUCGCUGAUCCGCGCGCCCCGCCUUUUCCCUCGUCGCUGGCGUCCUCCCCGCCCUCUUCUCCGGCGAAGGCCCGGCGCCGCCUCGAUCUGCGUGCACUCGGGUCCAAACCCUAAAUCUGUUUUUGGAGAGGUAUAAAUUUCACUAAGUCCCCGAGAUUUCCAUGUUUCAAAUGCCCUUGUUCAUCAUGUCGUAACUCCGCAUCCGUAGCUCCGUUUUGGGCGUGUGGCAUAUCAAAAUGUUCGCCUCAGAGAGUACAUCAUUUCAUCUCAUUGCAUUAUUUUCAUUUGAUCUCAUAUUGAUGCCCGAAAUGCUAUUGGAAGUGUGCUAUUUGAGUUAAUUGUCAGAUCUGCUGCUCCAAAUAGCUAUUUGUCAUUUUUGCCAUGAUUAAUGUGUGCAUGAUAUGCCCCUGAGCUCUACAUGUGUUUUGUUAUAUGCCUUGCCAUCUUUCCAGAGGUGCUAUCCAUGUAUUUUUGUGAUGUGUGUGGUGUCUAGCACAAGCUUGCAAAGUGGUGCAUUCGUUAAUGCUGAUUUCAGGGACUUAGCAAUUCCACUAAGUCUUUGAUCUGUUUUUUAUCAAUAUGCCAUAUGUUCAUGUUGUUUCCUAGUGAUCCGUGCCUCUUUUGAGGAUAAUCAGUAAGGAUAUUUUGUUAAUAUUGUAGUGCUCUAUCCAUCCAUGUCUUUGUUUGCAAUUAUGGAGCACCCUAGCUUGAGUCAAUCGAGCUCUACUUUUGCUAUUUCGUGAAUCUGGGCAGAUUGUCUACUUGUUAGCGAUUUUGUCGAGGAUGUUGUAGUUGAUCCGUGCACGAUAUGUAAUUGUUCUUUCCAUGUCUAGCUUGUAUAAUGUGUAUUCUUAAUGGGUGUAUGAUUAGAUUAUCAUGCCUUGAUCUGUAGUGAGUGCAUCGAGCUCGUAAACAUGCCUACUUGAUAUCUAUUUUGCAUGCUCCAGUUUUUCGCUAAGUCUGUGAUCUGAUUAUGUUUUUGCUAUGUUCACAUGCUUGCAAUUGUAUUUUCUGAUCCCUUUUGGCUCAAGGUCAUUAAGGGACUUUUGUUAAGCUCUUUGAUUAGCUUCAUGCCAUGCUUUACUUUGCCAUGUUAAGUUCCUGUAGCAUAUAGCUUUCAUGCUCUAAAGUGUGCUACCUGAUCUGAAAUUCCAGGCUUGUGUUAAUUUCACUAAGUCUGAAAUCUGUUUACCAAUUGCUCUUUUGCCACGCUUGUUUAAACCUGUUAAUGGAUGAAUUGGCCGUAGCUCAGUGUUCAUCUUUUGUUAAGAUUUAUGAAUGGAUCCCUGUCAUGUACUUUGUUGCCAUGUUUGGGUGUUGUAGAAUAUUUAUCUUGAUGCAUUUAGAUGGCUACUUACUGUUUAUCGCAGAUCGGUGCCAUAUUUGUUUCGCUUGCCAUUUCCAAACCAUGUCUCCGAUUCCGGUGUUCUUUAUAUCGAUUUCAACCGAAAUCACCGCACCUUUCCAGUGGCACACUUGGAUUUCCAAGUUGAGGACAAGUUCUUUCUUUACCUUGCAAAUCAUGCAUAUGCAUCGCAUACCGCAUCCCGCAUAUCAUACCAUGUUCAUGUGUUGGUUGUUUACUAUGUUGUGUGCUUCUUUCCGGUGUUGCUUCUUCGGGUUGGUUCCGAUAACGUCGCGUUUGUGAGGACUCGUUCAUCUAUGCCCGUUUGUCUUCUUCAUGGUCUCGUUCUUCUUCCUUGCGGGAUUUCAAGCAAGAUGAUCAUACCCUCGAAAUCACUUCUAUCUUUGCUUGCUAGUUGCUCGCUCUUUUGCUAUGCCUAUGCUGCGAUACCUACCACUUGCUUAUCAUGCCUCCCAUAUUGUUAAACCAAGCCUCUAACCCACCUUGUCCUAGCAAACCGUUGUUUGGCUAUGUUACCACUUUGCUCAGCCCCUCUUAUAGCGUUGUUAGUUGCAGGUGAAGAUUGAAGUUUGUUCCUUGUUGGAACAUGGAGAUUGUUCCUUGUUGGAACAUUGUUUACUUGUUGGGAUAUCACAAUAUAUCUUAUCUAAUUAAUGCAUCUAUAUACUUGGUAAAGGGUGGAAGGUUCGGCCUUAUGCCUGGUGUUUUGUUCCACUCUUGCCGCCCUAGUUUCCGUCAUAUCGGUGUUAUGUUCCCGGAUUUUGCGUUCCUUACGCGGUUGGGUUAUAAUGGGAACCCCUUGACAGUUCGCCUUGAAUAAAACUCCUCCAGCAAGGCCCAACCUUGGUUUUACCAUUUGCCACCUAGCCUUUUUCUUUCCCUUGGGUCAGCCAGCCCAAGGGUCAUCUUUAUUAAACCCCCCGGGCCAGUGCUCCUCUGAGUGUUGGUCCAACCUAGAGCACCGUGCGGGGCCGUCCCUUGGCAACUUAGGUUACGUUGGCUCCCAUACGCUUAGCUUAUCCGGUGUGCCCUGAGAAUGAGAUAUGUGCAGCUCCUAUCGGGAUUUGUCAGCACAACGGGUGGUCUUGCUGGACUUGUUUUACCAUUGUCGAGGAUGUCUUGUAACCGAGAUUCCGAGUCUGAUCGGGUCUUCCCGCUAGAAGGAAUAUCCUUCGUUGACCGUGAGAGCUUGUGAUGGGCUAAGUUGGGACACCCCUGCAGGGAUUUGAACUUUCGAAAGCCGUGCCCGCGGUUAUGGGCAGAUGGGAAUUUGUUAACGUCCGGUUGUAGAAAACCUGAAGUUGACCUUAAUUAAAAUACAUCAACCGCGUGUGUAACCGUGAUGGUCUCUUUCCCGUGGAGUUCGGGAAGUGAACACGGUGUUGGAGUAAUGCUUGACGUUAGGUUGUUCUAGGAUCACUUCUUGAUCAUAGUUUCUCGACCGUGCUUUGCCUUCUCUUCUCGCUCUCAUUUGCGUAUGUUAGCCACCAUAUAUGCUAGUCGCUUGCUGCAGUUCCACUUCAUACCUUUACCUUACCCAUAAGCUUAAAUAGUCUUGAUCGCGAGGGCGCGAGAUUGCUGAGUCCCCGUGGCUCAGAGAUACUUCCAAAACCAGCUUGCAGGUGCCGAUGAGUCCGUGCCGAUGACACAACCAAGCUCAGGAGGAGCUCGAUGAAGAUCUUGUUCUUUAUGUUGUUUCGUUCUAGUUGAUCAGUAGUGGAGCCCAGUUGGGGUCGAUCGGGGACCUUGUCGCAUUUGGGGUUCUUCUUUUAUUUUGGUUCCGUAGUCGGACCUUGAUUGUAUCUGGUUGAUGUAAUGCUUUAUUCAUGUAUUUGUGUGAAGUGGCGAUUGUAAGCCUACUAUGUAUCUUUCCCUUAUGUAUUACAUGGGUUGUGUGAAGAUUGCCUUACUUGCGACAUUGCUUUCAAUGUGGUUAUGCCUCUAAGUCGUGCUUCGACACGUAGGAGAUAUAGCCGCAUCGAGGGCGUUACAGAUCAAUGAUCAACUUGUGUGUUCUAGGGUGCCCCCUACCCCCGUAUAUAAAGGAGUAAGGGGGGAGGCUGGCCGGCCCCUGUAGGGUGCGCCAGGAGGAGGAGUCCUCCUCCUAAUAGGAGUAGGACUCCCCUUUCCUACUCCUACUAGGAGGAGGAAAGGAAGGGGGAAGGGGAGAAGGAAGGAGGGGGAGGAAAGGAGGAAAGGGAGGCCUCCCCCCUAGUCCAAUUUCGUUUGGGCUAGGGGGGCGCGCGCCCUGCGUUCUCUCUUCCACCACUUGGCCCAUGAGGCCCAAUACUUCUUCCCCGUAUUCCCGUAACUCCUCGGUACUUCGAAAAAUACCUGAAUCACUCGGAACUUUCCCGAUGUCCGAAUAUAGUCAUCCAAUAUAUCGAUCUUUACGUCUCGACCAUUUCGAGACUCCUCGUCAUGUCCCUGGUCUCAUCCGGGACUCUGAACUACCUUCGGUACAUCAAAUCACAUAAACUCAUAAUACUGAUCGUCACCGAACGUUAAGCGUGCGGACCCUACGGGUUCGAGAACUAUGUAGACAUGAUCGAGACAUGUCUCCGGUCAAUAACCAAUAGCGGAACCUGGAUGUUCAUAUUGGCUCCUACAUAUUCUACGAAGAUCUUUAUCGGUCAAACCACAUAACAACAUACGUCGUUCCCUUUGUCAUCGGUAUGUUACUUGCUCGAGAUUCGAUCGUCGGUAUCCUCAUACCUAGUUCAAUCUCAUUACCGGCAAGUCUCUUUACUCGUUCUGUAAUGCAUCAUCCCGUAACUAAAUCAUUAGUCACAAUGCUUGCAAGGCUUAUAGUAAUGUGCAUUACCGAGUGGGCCCAGAGAUACCUCUCCAACAAUCGGAGUGAAAAAUCCUAAUCUCGAUCUAUGCCAACUCAACAAGCACCAUCGGAGACACCUGUAGAGCACCUUUAUAAUAACCUAGUUACGUUGUGACGUUUGGUAGCACACAAAGUGUUCCUCCGGUACUCGGGAGUUGCAUAAUCUCAUAGUCAUAGGAACAUGUAUAAGUCAUGAAGAAAGCAGUAGCAACAAACUAAACGAUCAUCGUGCUAAGCUAACGGAUGGGUCAAGUCAAUCACAUCAUUCUAUAAUGAUGUGAUCUCGUUAAUCAAAUGAUAACUCAUGUCUAUGGUUAGGAAACAUAACUAUCAUUGAUUCAACGAGCUAGUCAAGUAGAGGCAAACUAGUGACACUCUGUUUGUCUAUGUAUUCACACAUGUACUAAGUUUCCGGUUAAUACAAUUCUAGCAUGAAUAAUAAACAUUUAUCAUGAUAUAAGGAAAUAUAAAUAACAACUUCAUUAUUGCCUCUAGGGCAUAUUUCCUUCAAUCAGCUAGGUAGUACCCCUUGUUGUAGUACCGCCCAUUGACCUCGAAGUUCACCGGAGGAGAUGACCUUCAACAAGCUUGGCAAAGACAGGGGAGCACUGCAGCAAGUUGAUGUCAUUGUGAGUUCCUGGCAUACCAAAGAAGGAGUGCCAAAUCUAGAGGUCCUGUGUGGCCACCGCCUCAAGUACCACACUGCAACCGCCUUUGGCACCUUUGUACAUCCCCUGCCAAGCAAAUGGGCAGUUCUUCCAUUUCCAAUGCAUGCAGUCGAUGCUUCCAAGCAUCCCAGUAAAUCCUCUUGCUGCAUUCUGUGCUAGGAUCCGAGCAGUGUCUUCCGCAUUGGGUGUUCGCAAGUAUUGCGGUCCAAACACUGCCACCACUUCCCAACAGAACUUGUAGAAACAGUCAAUGGUGGUGGACUCAUCCAUGCGCCCAUAGUCGUCGAGUGAAUCACCGGGAGCUCCCUAUGCAAGCAUCCUCAUUGCUGUCGUGCAUUUUUGGAUUGAGGUGAAUCCAAGUUUGCCGAUACAAUCCUUCUUGCACUUGAAGUAGUUGUUGAACUCUCGGAUGUAAUUCACAAUCCCGAGGAAAAGCUUUCGGCUCAUCCGGUAACGGCGCCGAAAUGUUUUGUCGUCGUGCAGUGGAGCGUCGGCGAAGUAGUCGGAGUAGAGCAUGCAGUAGCCUUCUAGACGAUGUCGGUUCUUUGCUUUCAUUCGCCCCGGCGCCGAGCCACCUCGCUGCGGCUUUUCAUUGCUCGCCAGCAAGCCGGCGAGGGCGGCGAGGACCAUGAGAUGUUCCUCUUUCUGGACGUCGGCCUCGGUUUCCUCCUCCAGCAGCGCGACGAGCGCUUCCUCGUCGUCCAGGUCCAUUGCCGAGGCAGGCGAAUCUCCGAACACCUUGCGGGCGCGGUGGGUGCUUACCCGCUGAUACAUCUCCAACGUAUCUAUAAUUUUUGAUUGCUCCAUGCUAUAUUAUCUACUGUUUUGGACAUUAUUGGGCUUUAUUAUUCACUUCUAUAUUAUUUUUGGGACUAACCUAUUAACCAGAGGCCCAGCCCAGAAUUGCUGUUUUUUGCCUGUUUUAGGGGUUCGAAGAAAAGGAAUAUCAAACGGAGUCCAAACAGAAUGAAACCUUCGGGAACGUGAUUUUCUCACUGAAUACAACUCAGGAGACUUGGACCCUACGUCNNNNNNNNNNNNNNNNNNNNNNNNNNNNNNNNNNNNNNNNNNNNNNNNNNNNNNNNNNNNNNNNNNNNNNNNNNNNNNNNNNNNNNNNNNNNNNNNNNNNNNNNNNNNNNNNNNNNNNNNNNNNNNNNNNNNNNNNNNNNNNNNNNNNNNNNNNNNNNNNNNNNNNNNNNNNNNNNNNNNNNNNNNNNNNNNNNNNNNNNNNNNNNNNNNNNNNNNNNNNNNNNNNNNNNNNNNNNNNNNNNNNNNNNNNNNNNNNNNNNNNUGGGCCCCUUGUUGCUCCACCGACCUACUUCUUCCUCCUAUAUAUAUCCACAUACCCCCAAAUGAUCAGAUACGGAGCCAAAAACCUAAUUCCACCGCCGCAACUUUCUGUAUCCAUGAGAUCCCAUCUUGGGGCCUGUUUUGGAGCUCAGCAGGAGGGGGCAUCGAUCACGGAGGGCUUCUACAUCAUCAUCCAAGCCCUUCCGGUGAAGUGUGAGUAGUUUACUUCAGACCUACGGGUCCAUAGUUAGUAGCUAGGUGGCUUCUUCUCUCUUUUUGGAUCUCAAUACAAUGUUCUCCCCCUCUCUCGUGGAGAUCUAUUCGAUGUAAUCUUCUUUUUGCGGUGUGUUUGUUGAGACCGAUGAAUUGUGGGUUUAUGAUCCAGUCUAUCUAUGAAUAAUAUUUGAAUCUUCUCUGAAUUCUUUUAUUUAUGAUUGGUUAUCUUUGCAAGUCUCUUCAAAUUAUCAGUUUGGUUUGGCCUACUAGAUUGGUUUUUCUUGCCAUGGGAGAAGUGCUUAGCUCUGGGUUCGAUCUUGCAGUGUCCUUUCCCAGUGACAGAAGGGGCAGCAAGGCAUGUAUUGUAUCGUUGUCAUCGAGGAUAACAAGAUGGGGUUUUUAUCAUAUUGCAUGAAACUAUCCCUCUACAUCAUGUCAUCUUUCUUAAGGCGUUACUCUGUUUUUAACUUAAUACUCUAGAUGCAUGCUGGAUAGCGGUUGAUGAGUGGAGUAAUAGUAGUAGAUGCAGGCAGGAGUCGGUCUACUUGUCUCGGACGUGAUGCCUAUAUACAUGAUCAUACCUAGAUAUUCUCAUAACUAUGCUCAAUUCUGUCAAUUGCUCAACAGUAAUUUGUUCACCCACCGUAGAAUAUUUAUGCUCUUGAGAGAAGCCACUAGUGAAACCUAUGGCCCCCGAGUCUCUUGCUCUUGAGAGAAGCCACCGUAGAAUACUUAUACUUUAUUACUGCUUUGCUUUUUUACUUUGUCUUUUACUUUUCACUUUGCAUCUCUUUACCAAAAAUACCAAAAAUAUUAUUUAUCAUCUUUAUCAGAUCUCACUUUCAUAAGUGACCAUGAAGGGAUGGACAACCCCUAAGCACGUUGGUUGCGUUGAGCUAUUGUUUUCGUGUAGGUACGAGGGACUCGUGCAUAGCCUCCUACUGGAUUGGUACCUUGGUUCUCAAAAACUGAGGGAAAUACUUACGCUACUUUGCUGCAUCAUCCUCUCCUCUUCGGGGAAAUCCAACGCAGUGCUCAAAGAGGUAGCAAGAAAGAAUUUCUGACGCCGUUGCUGGGGAGUCUGUGCAAAAGUCAACAUACCAAGUACCCAUCACAAUCCUUAUCUCCCGCAUUACAUUAUUUGUCAUUUGCCUCUCGUUUUCCUCUCCCCCACUUCACCCUUGCCGUUUUAUUCGCCCUCUCUCUCUAUCCUCCCUCUCUUUCUCUAUUUGCCUCUUUUUGCCCGUUUGCCUUUUGUUUGCUCGUGUGUUGGAUUGCUUGUUUGUCGCAAUGGCUCAAGAUAAUACUAAAUUGUGUGACUUCACCAAUACCAACAACAAUGAUUUCCUUAGCACUACGAUUGCUCCUCUUACUGAUGCUGAAUCUUGUGAAAUUAAUACUGCUUUGCUGAAUCUUGUCAUGAAAGAUCCGUUCUCCGGCCUUCCUAGUGAAGAUGCCGCUACCCAUCUUAAUAGUUUCGUUGGUUUGUGUGACAUGCAAAAGAAGAAAGAUGUCGAUAAUGAUAUUGUUAAAUUGAAGCUAUUUCGUUUUUCGCUUAGAGAUCGUGCUAAAGCUUGGUUUUCGUCUUUGCCUAAAAAUAGUAUUGAUUCAUGAAACAAGUGCAAAGAUGUUUUUAUCUCUAAGUAUUUUCCUCCCGCUAAGAUCAUCUCUCUUAGAAAUGAUAUUAUGAAUUUUAAGCAACUUGAUCAUGAACAUGUUGCACAAGCUUGGGAGAGAAUGAAAUUAAUCAUAUGUAAUUGCCCUACUCAUGGUUUAAAUUUGUAGAUGAUUAUACAAAAAAAUUAUGCCGGAUUGAAUUUUGCUUCUAGAAGUCUUUUAGAUUCGGCCACGGGAGGCACUUUUAUGGAAAUCACUUUAGGAGAAGCUACUAAACUCCUAGAUAAUAUUAUGGUUAAUUAUUCUCAAUGGCAUACUGAAAGAUCUACUAAAAAGGUGCAUACGAUAGAAGAAAUUAAUGUUUUGAGUGGAAAGAUGGAUGAACUUAUGAAAUUAUUUGCUAAUAAGAGUGUUUCUUCCGAUCCUAAUGAUGUGCCCUUGUCUACUUUGAUUGAGAAUAAUAAUGAAUCUAUGCAUGUGAAUUUUUUUGGUAGGAACAAUUUUGGUAACAACGCGUAUAGAGGAAAUUUCAACCCUAGGCCUUAUCCUAGUAAUCCCUCUAAUAAUUAUGGUAAUUCCUACAAAAAUUCUUAUGGAAAUUAUAAUAAGAUGCCCUCUGAUUUUGAAUCUAAUAUUAAAGAAUUUAUUACUUCACAAAAGAAUUUUAAUGCUUUGAUUGAAGAAAAAUUGCUUAAGAUUGAUGAUUUGGCUAGGAACGUUGAUAGAAUUGCUCUUGAUGUUGAUUCUUUAAAACUUAGAUCUAUUCCACCUAAGCAUGAUAUCAAUGAGUCUCUCAAAGCCAUGAGAAUUUCCAUUGACGAGUGCAAAGAAAGAACCGCUAGGAUGCGUGCUAAGAAAGAUGCCUUUAUAAAAGCGUGUUCUUCUAGUUCCUAUGAAAAUAAUGAUGAAGAUCUAAAAGUUAUUGAUGUGUCCCCUAUUAAAUCUUUGUUUUGCAAUAUGAAUCUUGAUAAUGAUGGGACUGAAUAUGAUCCACCUUCACCUAGAAGGCGUUCUAAGAAUUUGGAAUUUGUUGAUCUUGAUGCUAAAUUUGAUAAAAGUGGGAUUGAAAAAAUUAAAGCCCUAGAUGUUGCUAAACCCACUAUAUUGGAUUUCAAGGAAUUUAAUUAUGAAAAUUGUUGUUUAAUUGAUUGUAUUUCCUUGUUGCAAUCCGUGCUAAAUUCUCCUCACGCUUAUAGUCAAAAUAAAGCAUUUACUAAACAUAUCGUUGAUGCCUUGAUGCAAUCUUAUGAAGAAAAACUUGAAUUGGAAGUUUCUAUCCCUAGAAAACUUUAUGAUGAGUGGGAACCUACUAUUAAAAUUAAAAUUAAAUAUUAUGAGUUUUAUGCUUUGUGUGAUUUGGGUGCUAGUGUCUCUACUAUUCCCAAAACUUUGUGUGAUUUGUUAGAUUUCCAUAAUUUUGAUGAUUGCUCUCUAAACUUGCAUCUUGUGGAUUCCACUAUUAAGAAACCUAUGGGAAGAAUUAAUGAUGUUCUUAUUGUUGCCAAUAGGAAUUAUGUGCCUGUAGAUUUUAUCGUUCUUGAUAUAGAUUGCAAUCCUUCUUGCCCUAUUAUUCUCGGUAGACCUUUCCUUAGAACGGUUAGUGCAAUUAUUGAUAUGAAGGAAGGGAAUAUUAGAUUCCAAUUUCCAUUAAAAAGGGCAUGGAACACUUCCCUAGAAAGAAAAAUAAAAUUACCAUAUGAAUCUAUCAUGAGAGCCAUUUAUGGAUUGCCUAUCAAAGAUGGCAAUACCUAGAUCUAUUCUUACUUGUUAUGCCUAGCUAGGGGCGUUAAACGAUAGCGCUUGUUGGGAGGCAACCCAAUUUUAUUUUUAUUCCUUGCUUUUUGCUCCUAUUUAGUAAUUAAUAAAUUAUUUAGCCUCUGUUUUGGUUGUGUUUUUUGUGUUUAAUUAGUGUUUGUGCCAAGUAGAACCGUUGGGAAGACUUGGAGAAAGUCUUGUUGAACUUGCUGUAAAAAACAGAAACUUUAGCGCUCACGAGAACUGCUGUCAUUUUUAUUUGGAGAGUGCUAUUUAGUUAAUUCUUUUUGAAGAUGAUUAAUAGAUAAAUUCCUCAUGUCAAGAAAUUUAUUUUAGAAUUUUUGGGUUCCAGAUCUUGCGCUAGCUACAGAUUACUACAGAUUGUUCUGUUUUUUGACAGAUUCUGUUUUUCAUGUGUUGUUUGCUUAUUUUGAUGAAUCUAUGGCUAAUAAAAUAGUUUAUAAACCAUAGAGAAGUUGUAAUACAGUAGGUAUAACACCCAUAUAAAUAAAUAAUGAGUUCAUUACAGUACCUUGAAGUGUUCUUUUGUUUUCUUUCGCUAACGGAGCUCACGAGAUUUUCUACUUUAAGUUUUGUGUUGUGAAGUUUUCAAGUUUUGGGUAAAGAUUUGAUGGAUUAUGGAACAAGGAGUGGCAAGAGACUGAGCUUGGGGAUGCCCAUGGCACCCUCAAUAUAAUCUAAGGACAACUAAAAGCCAAAGCUUGGGGAUGCCCCGGAAGGCAUCCCCUCUUUCGUCUACUUCUAUCAAUAACUUUACUUGGAGCUAUAUUUUUAUUCACCACAUCAUAUGUGUUUUGCUUGGAGCGUCAUUUAUGACUUGAGUCUUUUCUUGUUAGUAUACCACAAUCAUCCUUGCUGUACACACCUUUUGAGAGAGCCAUACAUAAUUUGGAAUUUUAUAGAAUACUCUAUGUGCUUCACUUAUAUCUUUUGAGUUAUAUAAUUUUGCUCUAGUGCUUCACUUAUAUCUUUUAGAGCACGGUGGUGGAUUUGUUUUAUAGAAACUAUUGAUCUCUCAUGCUUCACUUAGAUUAUUUUGAGAGUCUUAAUAGCAUGGUAAUUUGCUUAAUAAUAAUAUGCUUGGUAUUCAAGAUUUGUAAAACUUUCUUUUGAGUGCGUUGAAUACUAAGAAAAAAAUUGAUGCUUGAUAAUUGUUUUGAGAUAUGAGGAUGGUGAUAUUAUAGUCAUGCUAGUUGAGUAGUUGUGAAUUUGAGAAAUGCUUGUGUUAAAGUUUGUGAUUCCCGUAGCAUGCACCUAUGGUGAACCGUUAUGUGAUGAAGUCGGAGCAUGAUUUAUUUAUUGAUUGUCUUCCUUAUGAGUGUCGGUCGGGGACGAGUGAUGGUCUUUUCCUACCAAUCUAUCCCCCUAGGAGCAUGCAUGUAAUACUUUGCUUUGAUAACUUCUAAAUUUUUGCAAUAAGUAUAUGAGUUCUUUAUGACUAAUGUUGAGUCCAUGGAUUAUACGCACUUUCCUUCCUUCCAACAUUGCUAGCCUCUCUAAUACCGCGCACUUUUCGCUGGUAUCAUACACCCACCAAAUACCUUCCUCAAAACAGCCACCAUACCUACCUAUCAUGGCAUUUCCAUAGCUAUUCCGAGAUAUAUUGCCAUGCAACUUUCCACCGUUCCGUUUAUUGUGACACGCUCCAUCAUUGUCAUAUUGCUAGCAUGAUCAUGUAGUUGACAUCGUAUUUGUGGCAAAGCCACCGUUCAUAAUUCUUUCAUACAUGUCACUCUUGAUUCAUUGCAUAUCCCAGUACACCGCCAGAGGCAUUCAUAUAGUCAUAUUUUGUUCUAAGUAUUGAGUUGUAAUUGUUGAGUUGUAAGAAAAAUAAAAAGUGUGAUGAUCAUCAUUUUUAGAGCAUUGUCCCAAGUGAGGAAAGGAUGAUGGAGACUAUGAUUCUCCCACAAGUCAGGAUGAGACUCCGGACGAAAAAAAAGAGGCCAUAAAAAAAGAGAAGGCCCAAAAAAAUGAGAGAAAAAGAGAGAAGGGACAAUGUUACAAUCCUUUUACCACACUUGUGCUUCAAAGUAGCACCAUGAUCUUUAUGAUAGAGAGUCUCUCAUUCUGUCACUUUCAUAUACUAGUGGGAAUUUUUCAUUAUAGAACUUGGCUUGUAUAUUCCAAUGAUGGGCUUCCUCAAAAUGCCCUAGGUCUUCAUGAGCAAGCGAGUUGGAUGCACACCCACUUAGUUUCUUUCGUUGAGCUUUCAUAUACUUAUAGCUCUAGUGCAUCUGUUGCAUGGCAAUCCCUACUCACUCACAUUGAUAUCUAUUGAUGGGCAUCUCCAUAGCCCGUUGAUACGCCUAGUUGAUGUGAGACUAUCUUCUCCCUUUUUGUCUUCUCCACAACCACCAUUCUAUUCCACAUAUAGUGUUAUAUUCAUGGCUCACGCUCAUGUAUUGCGUGAAGAUCGAAAAAGUUUUGAAAAUGUCAAUAGUAUGAAACAAUUGCUUGGCUUGUCAUCGGGGUUGUGCAUGAUUUAAAUACUUUGUGUGGUGAAGAUAGAGCAUAGCCAGACUAUAUGAUUUUGUAGGGAUAGCUUUCUUUGGCCAUGUUAUUUUGAGAAGACAUAAUUGCUUUGUUAGUAUGCUUGAAGUAUUAUUAUUUUUUAUGUCAACAUGAACUUUUGUCUUGAAUCUUUUGAAUCUAAAUAUUCAUACCACAAUUAUGAAGAUUUACAUUGAAAUUAUGCCAAGUAGCACUCCGCAUCAAAAAUUCUGUUUUUUAUCAUUUACCUACUCGAGGACGAGCAGGAAUUAAGCUUGGGGAUGCUUGAUACAUCUCCAAUGUAUCUAUAAUUUUUGAUUGCUCCAUGCUAUAUUAUCUACUGUUUUGGACAUUAUUGGGCUUUAUUAUCCACUUUUAUAUUAUUUUUGGGACUAUCCUAUUAACCGGAGGCCCAGCCCAGAAUUGCUGUUUUUUGCCUGUUUUAGGGUUUCGGAGAAAAGGAAUAUCAAACGGAGUCCAAACGGAAUGAAACCUUCGGGAACGUGAUUUUCUCACCGAAUACAACUCAGGAGACUUGGACCCUACGUCAAGCCAAUUAACAGGAGGCCAUGAGGUAGGGGGCGUGCGUGCCCCCCCCCCCAGGCGCGCCCUCCACCCUCGUGGGCCCCCUGUUGCUCCACCAACGUACUUCUUCCUCCUAUAUAUAUCCACGUACCCCCAAACGAUCAGAUACGGAGCCAAAAAUCUAAUUCCACCACCGCAACUUUCUGUAUCCACGAGAUUCCAUCUUGGGGCCUGUUCCGGAGAUCCACCAGAGGGGGCAUCGAUCACAGAGGGCUUCUACAUCAUCAUCCAAGCCCUUCCAAUAAAGUGUGAGUAGUUUACUUCAGACCUACGGGUCCAUAAUUAGUAGCUAGAUGGCUUCUUCUCUCUUUUUGGAUCUCAAUACAAUGUUCUCCCCCUCUCUCAUGGAGAUCUAUUCGAUCGAAUCUUCUUUUUGCGGUGUGUUUGUUGAGACCGAUGAAUUGUGGGUUUAUGAUCCAGUCUAUCUAUGAAUAAUUUUUGAAUCUUCUCUGAAUUCUUUUAUGUAUGAUUGGUUAUCUUUGCAAGUCUCUUCGAAUUAUCAGUUUGGUUUGGCCUACUAGAUUGGUUUUUCUUGCCAUGGGAGAAGUGCUUAGCUUUGGGUUCGAUCUUGUGGUGUCCUUUCCCAGUGACAGAAGGGGCAGUAAGGCACGUAUUGUAUCGUUGCCAUCGAGGAUAAACAAGAUGGUUUUUUUAUCAUAUUGCAUGAAACUAUCCCUCUACAUCAUGUCAUCUUACUUAAGACGUUACUCUGUUUUAACUUAAUACUCUAGAUGCAUGUUGGAUAGCGGUCAAUGAGUGGAGUAAUAGUAGUAGAUGCAGGAAGGAGUCGGUCUACUUGUCUCGGACGUGAUGCCUAUAUACAUGAUCAUACCUAGAUAUUCUCAUAACUAUGCUCAAUUCUGUCAAUUGCUCAACAGUAAUUUGUUCACCCACCGUAGAAUACUUAUGCUCUUGAGAGAAGCCACUAGUGAAACCUAUGGCCCCCGGGUCUCUUUCUCAUCAUAUCAAUCUCCAUCACUUUAUUAUUGCUUUGCUUUUUACUUUGCCUUUUACUUUUCACUUUGCAUCUCUUUACCAAAAAUGCCAAAAAUAUUACUUAUCAUCUCUAUCAGAUCUCACUUUCGUAAGUGACCAUGAAGGGAUUGACAACCCCUAAACUCGUUGGUUGCGUUGAGCUAUUGUUUUUGUGUAGGUACGAGGGACUCGUACGUAGCCUCCUACUGGAUUGAUACAUUAGUUCUCAAAAACUGAGGGAAAUACUUACGCUACUUUGCUGCAUCAUCCUCUCCUCUUCAGGAAAACCCAACGUAGUGCUCAAAGAGGUAGCACCCGCCGCAACACUGCCCCUCCGCGGCCGGAAACGCCAGAAAAAUCACGCCAGCCAGUGGUGGAGGGACUGCCUCGCGAAACCUCUGCUCUUUUUCCGGCGGAGAUGGGCUAUCUAGCGGUGGCGGGCGGUGGGCGGCGCCAGGAUCAGCCGGUUGGCGGCCAAGCGCGCGGGGGUGGGAGACGAAUCUGGAAGAAAGACUUGACUUUUCGCCUGAUGGUGUGGGCCAGACGUGCUUUUCCCUUGUGCCGGAGCCCCCGAGUGACCCCAGUGCGCCGGGUUCGACCUGCGAUCGCCGGGCCCAAAAACGGGCCAAGCCGACGGAUUUCGGCGUCCUAGGGGCGCGACUGGGCAUUUUUUCGGCGCCGACGCCGAAAAAAUCGCCUGGGGGGGCUAUUGAGGGCGCGGCUGAAGAUGCUCUAAUGCAUCUUUGCAAGAGAAUAACACCCUACAUGCAGUGAACAUUUUAUAAAAGCGUGAGCUUUUGAAAAACACAAACAAUUUUUUUAGUUCAAAUAUUUUUGGGAAACACAAACAUAAAAUGAAUAUUGUGAACAGUUUUAGAAAAUUCUGAAAAAAAAACAAAACACAAAUAUUUUUCAGUUUUACAAAGUUUUUUGAGAACAUGAUCAAAUUUUAUAAUUUGCAUACAUUUUGUGAAAAUACCAACAUUUUCUUCAAAUUUAUGAUCUUUUUAAAUACAUGAACAAAAUUUGAAACUUUUGAACAUUUUACGAAAUUUUCUUAAAAAACUAGUAAAAUAUGACAUAUUUAAAAAAACCCAGAAAAGAAGGAAAAACACAGUUCAGAAACCUUUUACAAGGUUUCAAAACCGGUCAGGAACUUUCCAGAGGUUGCCAAAACUUGAAUUCCUCAGCACGUAACUAACUUUAAAUGGGUCAGCCCAGUAACACCCGCUUGUGGCUAUGAGAUCUCUUCCAAUGCAAAAGUGUUUAGAUGAGGUGAUAAGUGCAUUAAAUAUUUUAGCAACUCAACUUCCCAAUGCAUAGGUGCUUAACUUGUUGUUGUUAAGCACACUAUUUAAUAAGUUAGCACCUAAAGUCUUUCAUGCAUUGAUCAAAUUGUUUCAUUUAAGUGCUUUGCCUAGGUUCUCACGCUUGGCGUUGGUUCUUCCUGGGGUCACCAAAGUAUUCUCUCCUCUCCUUAAAUGUUGUGCCAUGUCAUUUUUUUUAUGUGGCAUGCUUAGCACCUGUCCACGGUGGAGCAUUGGGAAAGGUCUGAUGUGUGUUUCAACGACUAUUUAACGCAAAGCGUGCCGAAUAGUAAUGCUCUCUUUUUCUUUUUCUUUUCUUGUUUUGAAGCAGGAAAUGCUCUCUUAUGGUGUAUAGAUAUUGAUAUAGGUAUGAUAAACCGAAGAAAAAUUUAUAUAAGGGAAUAACUUUUUCACUUUGUAUUUUGACCAUCCACUUAUAUCAUUCCAAUAUACUCCCUCUGUAAACUAUUAUAAGAGCGUUUAGAUUAAUAAAACAGUGAUCUAAACACUCUUAUAUUAGUUUACGGAGGGAGUAUUUCAUACUGUUAUGUGAUCGAUACACAUUUUCUUUGCCAUCCUUUAAUCAUCAAACAAAUUUGUUUGCUCUGAACCACUGAUCGACCAACGGGCUCAGUGAAGUGAAGUGAAGUGUUUGCACGUGAGAGAUGGAAAGCGGAUUCCUGUCCGACACAUCGUCACCCGCUGAUCACUUCAUCAGUUUGAGACUUAGUCAAGACAAUGAUUGCCGGAGACUGACCUUUCACCUUCCAGAUUGAUCAACCAUCAUCUGCAUCUGAAUACUUCAUGAAGAAAUCAUAUGGAGAAACAGAAGAAUUCGGUUUGCUAAUCAAUAUGGCUCAGUGAAGUGAAUUCCUGUCCGACACAUCGUCACCGGCUCAUCACUCAUCAGUUUGAGACUAUAGUCAAGACAAUGAUUGCCGGAGACUGACCUUUCACCUUCCAGAUUGAUCAACCAUCAUCUGCAUCUGAAUACUUCAUGAAGAAAUCAUAUGGAGAAACAUAAGAAUUCGGUUGGCUAAUCAAUAUGUCUGUGACGGUAUGAUGCUUUCCCUGUUCACCAGUAUCACUAGCGAAAGGGACCAAUUACCCACUGAUAAACACCAUGUACCGGACGGCAAUGACAUCAAGAAAAAUCAUUCGCCUUCCCGCGCGUGUGAUUUGUCGCUAUCAUGCUUUUCAUACUACAAUGACAUGCAACAAUUAUUUCAUCAAGGAACUAUGAGAUUCUAGUGUUUCCGUGCGAUAAAACCAGAUUGCUGCCCCAGAUUCUUGCUAAUAUGUAUAUAGCCAAACAGAGAUCAGAAUUGGCCCUAAGCUCAAAACUCAGCAGACAAUACAAGUCGGCAAAAUGUUCUUCACUGAACAUUCUUUUAUUGGCAUUCUUCAGCCUAAGUUAAAGAACUAAUGCAUCAACUGCCUGACAUAGGUGACAUGCACAUUAACCAGCGAUACUACAACGCGGGGUAUGUUAAAAGGUUCAAAUCGGCAACGACAGUACCACUCUCUGCAGUCUGCACUGCCUUCAUAGAGACUAUGAACACAGGACGGCGGCUCUUUUUACAGGUUCACGGCAAAACAGAACGCUUCUCCUUGCUUUAC
rnacentral:lncRNA from 1 species